rnacentral:lncRNA from 1 species
GUGUGCCUUGGUCUAAUCCUAAUAGGAAAAGGAAUUCGGUCUAAUGCUAAUAUGAAAAGGAAUUUGGUCUAAUGCUAAUAAUUCAAUCUACAAUCUCCUAACUUCAGGAUUCCAUUGACAAUAGUGAAAGCUUCACUAUGCACAACAGCACUAGCGCUUUCUUCUUUCGAACCCACCCACAUCUUUAGAAACCACAUAAGGCUUGCAGUCCAAAUGAUCAGUAGUUGUAUUCUUGUCUGGCAAUUGAAAGUACGUACUCUUUUGUCUCGAAUGCCCAUGUAUCAACAAUGUUAUUUCCUGCAUUACACAACACAUCGGACCGUGGCAUUUCCACACGAAUUGGGACAUUGCAUAUGGUGCUUAAGACUAUCACCAACAUGAAUUGAUGCAACAACAUGGACAUUUUGCUUAUCCAUCGUCUUAACAUUCUUAUCAGACUUGUCAUUAUCACAAAUCACAUCAACACUAGAUAACUUGCCACCAAGCACAUAACUAAUACCACCACGACCAUUAUUCAUGAAGCUGAAAUUCCCAAAAGAUGUAGAAAUGGCAUCGUCGAGCAGAAGAAACUCCGAAAAUUGCUCUUCUGGUAUUUGAUGGUCUUAUGGAGCAUGGAUGCUCCAUGCUCCUAGCCAUUCUACAACAACUUUGCGUGACUGUUAUAACUCCUAUAUCUUUGAAUUUGUUAUGACUGCUUCUUUGCGAGGCUGUUAGUACAACAACUUGAUUUUGCUUUGGUUCUUGAUUUAUGUUUUAACUACCAUAUAAUUCUUUCAUCAUCUUGGUUAUUAGGAACCUACCAGUUUCCUGUAAAGACAUGACAUCCAUAUUUGAAUAAAAGGUUCAGACAUGACACUUUGCAACAAAUUUUAAUGGGCAACAUUUUCUUGAUUGAUGAUAUGCUCAAUAGUUUUUAACUUCUCUAAAAAAAUAACCAUUACAACAUUUCAUUCAGUUUUUUUGGAGUUCUGAAACUUUAAUUAACGGACCAAAAGUGCCUUAUGUCUGAAGUGUGGUUGCUGCUCUCAAAUUGCUACUAGCCUACUACUGCCCUUCAUCCAAUUGCUACAAGCGUAAUGUGAUUCUCAUCUUCACUAAAUUCAAUGCCUUGCUCAAUCAUGAAUAUAUAUACCAGAAGAACUACUCUAGGGAACAUGACUUCCAUCAUUUCUACCAUCUCUCUCUAGUUGAAAAAAGGUACAAUUACAUUGGGUGACACAUCUGCAGCAGCUUUGGCAACCAUAUACUUCCUCUGCUCUGGGUUGUCAAUACCACGUGAUUCAUAAUCUUCAAUAGCUUUUUCUUCAACCUUGUCUUUUUUUUUUUAGGUACUUGUCAUGUUCUUCUCUAUUAUGUCUUUAUAUAGUUUCAUCAAAUGUUGAAAGACAAACUUGUAGUAAUAAAUGAAUCCCUUACCGUUCUUGAGAUACUCCUCUCCAUAUUCAUUGUAGACAGCUUUAAAGAAUUUGGUUGCUUCUACCUUUCGUUUAACGACAUCAUCUAUAUUUGUUUCUAUGCUCAAAGUCAGAAUAUACUCUUCAAGGUCUGCCCAUAUUCCUUGGUAGGUUUUUGCUCUCUGUGAAAACGUAGGAUAUGCAUGACACAUGAUCUCCCUUAUUUCUUCGUCUGUUAACAGUGAAGGAUGAUAGAAUAAUUACCGAAAUUUGUUCCUACAUGCAAGUGAGAAUGUAAAAACCAAGAUAAUAUGUUGAACUAUUAUUGUUUGUUUACGUUUUUUUAUAUUACUAAACACUUUAAAUGAAAGUGAUUAUGAUUACUGAAAUAUGCAAUUGUUAUGGCAAUUAACGUUCCUAGCUGACUCAGUUAUGUUUUGUUUACUUGCACAUUGUUAUCCACUCUUACUAGCAUCUGUAGGAAAUAUUUGAAUUCUCCAGGAUAAUCGUGUUCCUCUGGAUGCAGCUUCUCGGCCAAGCGAUAUAGGGAUUCUGGGUACAGAGUUUGAUACUCUUCAUGGUUCAAUGUGUACCUUCCUCCGGCAUUUACAACUAUGUUGUCAACGGUUAGUUUGCCUAUUAAGUUUCCAUUUCUCAUCAUGUUGAUACAGUUCCAAAUGGUGUCCUUGCAUUUGUUUUUAAGAGAUCAAAUAACACAGUCAACCAAAAUUGAUUGCAUAAUAUGUAGAUAAAUUAUGAGACUUGUAAUAGGGUAAUAGAAUGAUAUGUUAAUUCUUUAUUAUCUUAUAUAUGUUAUAGGUUCUUGUCCAGAGUGUAGUUUUUUUGUUUAUUGUUUUUGUUUUGUUGAUUUGGUGCAGAUGGUGGUGGUGAUGAUGAGAGAUGUGUGUGGGGUUGGACACAAGAAGGUCUCUUGAGGUUCUGCAGAACUCGUCUCUGAUUUUUGCAGAGGAGAGGAUUCCUAUGAAGGACCCUAUUGGCGAGUUUCAUAAGUACACUGGUGGUUAGAAAAUAUCAGCAAUGAUCAUGACUGGGCUGUGAGUUAUUGUAAUCUUUAUAUUAGUUGCAACAAUCAUUUGUUUAGUGCUAAUUUCAAUUUCACAUUAUUAAGUACUAGAUUGUGUAAUUAAAAAUCUUCCAGUUCUCAUCAACAAAGGCAUGCGUACAUUAUGAUUAUACAUCAAUUAUGUAAGGCGACCGUGAUUGUAAUGCACGUAUCUUCUGUAUGAUAUUGAAAACUACAACUAUUAUCCAACUUUGUCUUCUAUCUUCUGCCUAAGAUUGUAAUGCAAGUCUACUUUUUGUCUACAACAACAGCUAUCAAUGUAAUACGCAAUGAAAUGUGUAAUGCAAUAAGCAGCUAUCAAUGUAAUGCGCAAUGUAAAACAAAUUGUUUUGGAAGAAAGAACAAACAACAGCAACCGAAAGAUUGCAAGAAGAAGUUGGUUUGGUAGUGAUGCACAAUUUACAUCUAUCAAGGUAAUGCACAAUUAAUGUAAGGCCUCGAAAGCUAGUUGCAUACCUGUAUAGUUGGUACACAGCCCUUGGAACCUUGUUCUUCGCAACAAGGUUUUCUGCAAAUGAAUCAUAAUUCUCCGGAUGGGGAAUUAUGUCCUCUCUCAAUGUCAACUGUUUCAUAGAGUAAAUUAAAUCAAUACGUGAAGGUGUUAUAAUGAUAAUGAGAUCAUCUUGGUUAUUAGGAACCUACCAGUUCCCCUGUAAAGACAGGGCAUCCAUACUUGAAUAAAAGGUUCAGACAUGACAUUUUGCAAUAAAUUUUAAUGGGCAGCAUUUCUUGAUUGAUGAUAUGCUCAAUAGUUUUUAACUUCUUUGAAAAAAUAAACAUUACAAUAUUUCAUUCAGUUUUUUUGGAGUUCUGAAGCUUUAAUUAACAGACCAAAAGUGCCUUAUGUCUGAAGUGUGGUUGUUGCUCUCAAAUUGCUACUAGCCUCCUACUGCCCUUCAUCCAAUUGCUACUAGCGUAAUGGAAUUCUCAUCUUCGUUAAAUUCAAGAAAAAAAUUCAGUUUAUUACCCUGAACUUUAGGUCUAAAAUCAGUUUGAUACCUCAUCUUUUUUUUUAAUCAAUUUCAUACCUAAACUUUCAAAAUGACAUCAAUCUCGACCAAAAUGACUAAAAUAGCCCUGAUUAAUCUUUUUACCCUCUCUCUCCCUGCCUCCAAAUCCACCACAUGGCCGGCGCCGGCAUCCACCCCUACCACCAGCAAUGGGCCCCGGCGGCAGCCCCUCCUCCUCCCCCGGCCGUCGCCGCUGCCAUUCUUAACUCUGAGUGGGUAAAAAGAUUAACCAGGGCUAUUUUAGUCAUUUUAGUCGAGAUUGAUGUCAUUUUGAAAGUUUAGGUAUGAAACUGAUUAAAAAAAAGAUGAGGUAUCAAAAUGAUUUUAGACCUAAAGUUCAGGAUAGUAAAAUGAAAUUAUCUCUAAAUUCAAUGCUUUGCUCAAUCAUGAAUAUAUAUACCAAAAGAACUACUCUUGGGAACAUGACUUCUAUCAUUUCUACUAUCUCUCUCCGGUUGAAAAAAUAUACAAUUACAUUGGGUGGCACAUCUGCAGCAGCUUUGGCAACCAUAUAUUUCCUCUGCUCCGGGUUGUCAAUACCACAUGAUUCAUAAUCUUCAAUAACUUUUUCUUCAACCUUGUCUCUUUUUUUUAGGUACUUGUCACGUUCUUCUCUAUUAUGUCUUUAUAUAGUUUCAUUCAAAUGUUGAAAGACAAACCUGUAGUAAUAGAUGAAUCUCUUACCGUUCUUGAGGUACUCCUCUCCAUAUUCAUUGUAGACAACUUUGAAGAAUUUGGCUGCUUCUAUCUUUCGUUUAACGACAUCAUCUAUAUUUGUUUCUAUGCUCAAGGUCGGAAUAUAUUAUUCAAGGUCUGCCCAUAUUCCUUGGUAGGUUUUUGCUCUCUGUGAAAACAUAGGAUAUGCAUGGCACAUGAUCUCCUAUAUUUCUUUGUCUGUUAAUAGUGAAGGAUGAUAGUAUAAUUGCCGAAGUUUGUUCCUGCAUGCAAGUGAGAAUGUGAAAGCCAAGAUAAUAUAUUGAACUAUUAUUGUUUGUUUACGCUUUUUUAUAUUAUGCUAAACACUUUAAAUGAAAGUGAUUAUGAUUAUUGAAAUAUGCAAUUGUUAUGGCAAUUAACGUUCCUAGCUGACUCAGUUAUGUUUUGUUUACUUACACAUCGUUAUCCACUCUUACUAGCAUCUGUAGGAAAUGUUUGAAUUCUCCAGGAUAAUCGUGUUCCUCUGGAUGCAGCUUCUCGACCAAGCGAUAUAGGGAUUCUGGGUACAGAGUUUGAUACUCUUCAUGGUUCAAUGUGUACCUUCCUCCGGCAUUUACAACUAUAUUGUCAACGGUUAGUUUGCCUAUUAAGUUUCCAUUUCUCAUCAUGUUGACGCAGUUCCGAAUGGUGUCCUUGCAUUUUUUUUAGGAGAUCAAAUAACACAAUUAACCAAAAUUGAUUUUUUCCAAGACAAAGUGCAUAAUAUGUAGAUAAAUUAUGAGACUUGUAAUAGGGUAGCAGAAUGAUAUGUUAAUUCUUUAUUAUCUUAUAUAUGUUAUACUUUCUUGUCCAAAGUGUGGUUUUUUGUUUUUUUGUUUUUGUUUUGAGUUUUGUUGAUUUGGUACAGAUUGUGGUGGUGAUGAUGAGAGAUGUGUGUGGGGUUGGACACAAGAAGGUCUCUUGAGGUUCUGCAUAACUCGUCUCUGAUUUUUGCAGAGGAGAGGAUUCCUAUGAAGGACCCUAUUGACGAGUUUCAUAAGUACAUUGGUGGUUAGAAAAUAUCAGCAAUGAUCAUUAUUGGGCUGUGAGUUCUUGUAAUCUUUAUAUUAGUUGCAACAAUCAUUUGUUUAGUGCUAAUUUCAAUUUCGAUUCACAGUAUUAAGUACUAGAUUGUGUAAUUGAAAAUCUUCCAGUUCUCAUCAACAGAGGCAUGCAUACAUUAUGAUUAUAAAUCAGUUAUGUAAGGUGACCGUGAUUGUAAUGCACGUAUCUUUUGUAUGAUAUUGAAAACUACAACUAUUAUCCAACUUUGUCUUCUAUCUACUGCCUAAGAGUGUAAUGCAAGUCUACUUUUUGUCUACAACAACAACUAUCAAUGUGUUCUAUAACAGCAGCUAUCAAUGUCAUACGCAAUGGAAUGUGUAAUGAAAUAAACAGCUAUCAAUGUAAUGCGCAAUGUAAAGCAAAUUGUUUUGGAAGAAAGAACAAACAGCAGCAACCGAAAGAUUGCAAGAAGAAGUUGGUUUGGUAGUGAUGCACAAUUUACAUCUAUCAAUGUAAUGCACAAUUAAUGUAAAGCCUCGAAAGCUAGUUGCAUACAUGUAUAGUCGCUGCACAGCCCUUAGAACCUUGUUCUUUGCAACAAGGUUUUUUGCAAAUGAAUCAUAAUUCUCCGGAUGUCAUCUCUCAAUGUCAACUUUUUCAUAGAGUAAAAUUAAUCAAUACGUGAAGGUGCUAUAAUGAUAACGAGAAACCCUAAACCCUAAUUUAGCUUUGAAUUACCUCUAUUUCGUCAUUGAAUUUCUCCCUAGCCUUGUCCUUUAGUUUGACAUACACGUCUGUUCAUAUAAAUCCCCUAGUUGGGCUUCCAAAGGCUUGUAGUCUGUCAUGAUGUUGGUUUUAAGGGGAGAGAGGCAGUGAUGGGGAGAGGCACGGUAGAGAUGAAGAAGCGAUGGGGAGAGAGAGGGAGUUUAUUUUUUGAUAAGAUGGUUAUGAUCCAUUUUUAGGUGUUGUGGAGUGGCAGAGUGAGAAUCACGUACAGGUUGUGACUUAGGAGAGUGUUCUACAAUGUUGAACAAUUGUGUUUGGAUGAAGAAAUUCUAUUUUCCACGUAAAUUUUAAAGUUAUAGGAAUUACAAUUCAAUGAAUUUAAAUUUCAUUGAUUAAGAAUUCUAUUGUUUAGAUUUCAUGAUGUAGAAUUUUAAAAUGACAAGAAUCAGUAUUUAGACUAGCCUCAGUUGAGGGAAUUGACAAAUGACACCUAUUUUGUGAGGAAUUCAAGUCGGGAAUUUAAGCUCAUAAAUUCCACGAUUAUUUUCCUAUGGAAAUUAUAAAUUCCACGGGAUAAUAACCCAAACGGUGGAAAAAGUCUAAAGAAAUUGAGAAUUCCUCAUUUUUGAUUAAAUUCUCAGAAAUUCACCCGCAUCGAAACACAGACAGUAAUGGAUGCCAAUUCAUUGAUUGAGCUCUACAAUAAUGGAGAGUGUUCUAUUGUAUUCCUGCAUGGCAAUGCUAGCAUGCCAAUAAUUGUUGAGAUGGUGUGAGGAGGAGAAGAACCCGUGAAGUGAUCAAGUGAUGGAAGGAAAGAAUGGAAGAUCAGCAACGUACCAUGUACCCUCAAUACCAAACAGCCCGUGCUCGUCCUUUUGCUAUAAGAAACAUUGUGGUCAUUAGCUCUUUAGAAUAUCUUUGUGCAUGCCUCCACGAUUGCUAUCAACUUUACAUAACAAUCUUGAAGAGACAUGACAUGCAAAAGUUAACAAGAAAGAGAUUCGCUUUUGUUUGCAUUACCGGACCUCCACCAUGGACACUUGCAUCUGAUUGCCGUCGGUAGUAUAGGCACCGGUGUCACAUCCUUGUUCAUUUGUGACAUUGAAACAAAGUUGAUUUAAACCGACUCAUUGGAGUUGAACAACAUAUGAAUCUUUAACUAACUAGCUAAAACCUGACACCAUUUCAUCAGUAGAAGGAAACACUUGUUACAUAUGCAGCUUUCAAUAUGAAGUGUUAUACUCGGGAGCUCUCUUUUAUGAAAUCUUAGCCCCUCGUACCUCUGAAUACAAUAUCCAUGGUCCAUUGGUAAUUCCUCCUCCUCCUCUUUAUCUUCAUUAUUAAUGUUUAAAGUGAGUGCUAUGUUAAACCAAGAAAUUGAACAAAGAACAGAAGUUGAGGUUUCUAGUAGUGAUGAAGAUGGGUUUCAAGGCUCAUGGUUUGCGGCCAAAUCUUUUAUUCAGUACAAGCUUAAACAUAAGAGAUUGUGAAGUUGUUGUUGUUGCUUGUUACAGCUUGAAUGAAGUAGUUGAUGCUUUACUGGGAUGAUGAAUGGUGAGAAGGUAAGAUAUGGGGGAAGGCACAAAGUUUACUUCAAGGGUAGUGAUUAAAUCUGUUUUUACUUCAAGAUUACUUGUCAGACAUUUUGUAGCACACAUCUGCUUUGGAAUCUCUUUGAGCUAUUGCGGUUGGAUUGGGACAAUCAACCUCUCUGCAGGUUUACAUAUACAGGGUUUAGGGGAAUCUUUUCAUCUGAGUCAAAGAAAUGCUUUUAGUAAUGUUGUUAAUAAUCAAAACAAAGGCUAAUGCCAAAUUACUCGCAAUAAGCUGAUACCAGACAGGAGUGCAUUUCAUCACCAAUAAGUAAUAAGGACUUCAGCAAUCCUUCACCUACUGUAAUUAAAUCACAACUUUGAGGUUAUUUCCAGUUUAUCCUAUGACACUAAGACAAUUAAGUUCGUAUAUCACGUAGUCUAAAACUCAGGACAGGACAGGACAAAUUAGGGCUUUUUGAGAAAAUUCAACCUAGCUUGGAAUUCUAUUAUAUUGUUGAUUAUGUUGUAUUCGGUGAUCAUAAGGUUUUGGGUGCAAUAGUUUUGCGUAACUGGGGAACAAGAUUGCCGGAAGAUUAUGGUUCUGUGGAGUUUGCUUCUCACAGCGAUGCUGAGUUUGUCUCGGAAUCCUACCAUGAUGAGCCAAUAAUGCAUGCCAAUAAGUGAUGGAAAGUGAAGAUCAAUACCAAACAACAACCCUGCUCGUCCUGCAAGAGAAGUUGUGGCACGCAAACUCUGUUCAUCGAUCACCAUCACCCCACCACCGCUGUCUCUGCGGGAAACACUGUUUCAAGAGUGCAAUCUACAUCAGAAGAAGAAGAAUAUAGACACCGACUUAUCUAAAGGUGAAGAUGAUCGAACUUCAAAUGUGGAUACAAGUGAUAUGUCGAUCGUCCUUGAUUUACAUUUUUUAUUUAACAAAGAGUUGGUAAUUAAAUUUUUCAUAACACGUACACAUUAUUGCAGUUCCAAGAUAUAUAUCAAAUAUAAGGUAAUGUCUAAAAUAAAAGUUUUGGGGAUCAGACCACAUUUAUUGUUGUUUACAUUGUGUGAUUUCCUGUCGAAGUGAAUGUCAUUUAAUAACGCUCAACUUUCCUCCUACAUUUAAACCCAAAGUUAAAUUCUCCCCCAAUACUUGGAAAAAAAAAAAAAAACAACACAAAACACAAAACCUAAAACCCCUUCAUCACACACACAAAUUCGCACACUCACACUCCCAAAACCCAAAACCCAAAACCUAACAUCUCUCCUCUCUCAGCCUCGUCGGAGACGGCGACGAAGCUCUCGGCGAGCCGUAGCCUCUCUUUUGAUUCGUCUCUUUAGAGGUACGCCCUAGCUAGCUCUAACCUCUCUCUCUCUCUCUCUCUCUCAUAAAUCGAUUUCUACUUCGAUGAUUGAAGGUUUCAAUUUUGAUGCAGGUGACUACAAUACGACUUGGAGCUUUGAUUUUCUGAAGAUAUUUCUCUCAAAGGUAAUUGUUGGAAUCAGCAUUGCGGGGUUUUGAGUUUUGGGUAUUCGAUCUGUUGCUGGGUUUUGUGUUAUUGCUUUGACUGUGUUGCAUGUUGUUCUUCUUUUCUGGGUUUUGGGUUACUGCUUUGGUGGUGUUGCUUUACUCCGAAGCUAGGUUGAUUGGAAUAAUGAAGUGCGAUUGGCUAGUAUAAAGAUGUGAGAUUUUCGAUUUCGUGUGCGAUCUGAACUUAGACUAGUUUUAGAGAUUUAAUUAGCAAUGUUGGUGAUAAUGGGAUAUUUUUUUCUUUUCUAAAUAGAGCCUCCAGGUUGCUGUGUUCAUUAGAGAAUAAUGGUAUGAAUUGAAUGUACUUAGUGUUCUUACUGUAUGGAUGUUUAUCAAUUGAUAGUACCUAUGUAUUUGAUAGAGAGUCAUGAAUUUGGCUGUUGUUAUGUAUCUAAGAAGUGUCUUCAUUACAAGUCUCUCAUUACAAUUCUUACUGUCCCCUGGGUUUUUGUUCAUGCAUUAAAUCCUGAGUUUUAUGCUCAUUUGCUCUUAUAGAAUAGACUUGGUCUUAUUAGCUUCAUUGUGCGAAUACAGGAACUAUGCUCUUUGCUCUUUUGUAACUAUCCCUGGCUUCCUGCCUCCAAUUGCUUUCUAGGAUUGUUGGGUGUUUUAAUUAAGUGAUAAUUAACGGUUUGCUCCUUUACUUUAUAGGAUGUUUCCAAGGAACUGGGGAACGAAAGAAUAUGCCGAUCCGUCAUCGGACGAUGACUUUUCUCAUGGUCCCGCUGAUGGAGGAAGAAGAAGAAGAAGCAGAGGACAAGCAUCAGGAAGUCGGGGUGAUCCACCUAUGAUAGCAGCUUUGAGAACUCCAGUGGUCAAUCAUCCAGGGUUAGUUUCACCACCGCGCGUCUUCUAUGAUGAAUGGAGACGAACUAAAGGGGACAUCUGGAUUUCGAAGCCAAAUAGAAAUUCUCCAAGGAUAGCUGAUGUUCAUCGUUGCUGUUUUAGGUAAAUUGUGCUUUUAUUUUUUAAUUUAUUUUUACAAAUUAUAUUUCACAUAUCUAAAUUUGUUAAUGUUCUUUCUUCUUUCUUUUAAAAAAAUAUAAUAGGCAGGUUGUCCGGGAAUUCAUUGAUAAGUACAUGAUGGGAACUACAACUGGAGUAUUGAGAAGUGUUGCUAUAGUCUUAGGUUCUGUGGUGAUAGAUGUUGAUAGCAAUCCAACCGUUGGACUGAAUAUUCAACUUUUAGAAUUCCUCAAGCCAAGAUUGGGAGACGAUAUGUACAAUGUAGAGUUACAACAUUUCUAUCAAAUGAUUACGCUGUCUACACCGUAAGAAUAAUUAACUUACCCUCUUUUAUACAUGUUUAUGCAUUCGACUUAUUUAUACAUGUUUCACAUACAUAUAUUUCCUGAGCCUGCAUAUUUGGUUUCCAGUUUGUCCUAACAAUAAGAGUAUUAAAUUAUUAUACGAUGUAGUAUAACUGUCUAUCAUCUCACUUUUAUAUGUUUAUUUUGUUGGAAGGCAAAACUGUUGGAUGCUUCAGCAUCAUCCAAUACUUAUGUCUAUUACGGAGCGUUAUCAAUUUCCCACUGAUACUCGCUUGGGGAUUCAACAUAUUACAAACUGGGAGUCCGUUUUUGAUCAGUAUGUGGAGGAAACUUGUGGUGCAGCUGCAGAAAUUAUGAUCAAGCCAAACAUUACAUCCCAUGCUAUCUUCCUUGAUGUGUUCAAUAGCUAUAACAACGACAAUCCAAUAAAAGGUUUCAUUAACAGUUGUGCGGGACUAUCCAGAUUUGCAGAAGCUCUGUUUAUUCAUGGUUCUGAUGGUGGUAGAGAUUUGGUAUGUAGUUAAUGUAUCUUCAUUUUAUUUUUAUUUUUAUCUUAUUUAAGUAAUAUUUUCUUAUUUACUUAUUUAAUUUAUUUUUUUAGCAACCUGAAGUUGUAGAGCGAGAAUUGAGCAAUAGGUUUCCUUUCAUGUUGAUCCUGAAGUUCCAAUUUCUAUUCCAAAGAAUGUGUCUGAUUGAUGAUCUUGCUUUUUUAGCUAACCGCCGGUAAGUACUUUUAUUUUUUGUAUGUUUGUUUCUAGUUUUUGGAAUUUUGUUUUUAUAUUUGUCAUUUUGGAUAUUGUUUGUUAGUUCUUUUAAACAAAGACAAUCGGUUAGUUAUUUUCUUUUUAAUUGCAGGCCUGCAAUUGAUGAUGGUAUUUGUUAGACAAAGCUACAAGAAGUGGAAGAAUGAAAUUUAUUCAACAUCUUGUUUUAUGAACUUGUUACUUUUGUAUGUAAAAUUCUGGACUUAAAUUAGUGUGAUGGAAAUUUGAUUCUGCUACCUUUGUAGUUUCCUAUCCAGCUAGCUUUGUACUUUGUGGUUUCUCCGGCCCUUGUGGCCUUGUGGCCUUAAUGAAGUUGCUUUUUGAUAAAAAAAUCUGGAAAUUUGAUUCUAAUUAAGAUAAUUUUGGUUGAGCUUGCCUUAGAACCCAACCUUCUCAUUUUCUAUACUUAGUUCAAGCACUCAUAUCUACACUACUUAUAACCAGUGAUUAACAUCAAGCGCUGAAAUCUACACUGUACAAUAGCAACAAGCAUAUAUUACUAAAAUUUCCCAACAAGGCAACAGCAUGGUACCAGACUUCUCUUACAUACAAGAAUUCAUAAGGUGGUGCAAUCACCCGAGUAUCAUUUUCAAUUUUCAGACACUUAUGUCAGUCCCGAAUAAUUCUUAGUGCUCAAAAUCUAUUGCAACCAAAUUUAUAGUCACUCACCCAACAGGCGUUUACAGCUUCAGACGACCCAAAACUUAGCAUUUCCCCUCAAUCCCUGAUUCCUGAAAAGUUGACAUGUCCAACUUAAACACCAAAUUUGAUAGAGGAAUAAAUCAUAGUGAAUUUCUCCAAUAAAAGCUAAAAACUACGACAACAUGGUUCAUGGUGUCGAAUACAGAUACGAAUAUUGCUUGCUCAGUGGGGAAUUUUAAGUGAAUACACUACUAAAACUAUAAUCAGUAUCAGUACCAUCAUAUACAGUUAUACACCACAUUACGCAGAAAUGUAGAGAGAAGCAACUACAACUAUACAAGACAUAUCAAGGAAUUUGUGCAUAUCAAUGAGUGUUCCUUUUCUAGUGUUGGUGAGUUAUGAAUUGCAAUAGUCAAAUAUACAUGGUCUGAAUGAGCAACAAAGAAUUGAAUGUUCUUAUAUUUCGACCAAACUUUUCCUAUUAUCAAAUAAUUGGUUUUUUUUUAGUACUUCAUGAACUAAUGGGAUUCGAAUGUUUAGAUCGGAUUUGAGUAUACGAUUCUCACAAGAUUCUCGCUAUAAUCCAUUGCUAUACGUUUUAUGUAAUAUUAAAAAUAGAACGUUCUUUUUAAAAAAGAAAUACAAUAUUUAAUCAAUGAGGAUAUUGGUCUGGGUUUCAUUCAAUCUAACCCAAACUUACCUGGGUCUCAAUUUGUUGAUCUGCCCAUUUUGAUGGGUGGAAAACAUGUUUGUUUACGGAGGAGGACUUGCUCUAAUCGGAUAUCUUGCAAGCCAUGCCGCCGUAUCCUCAGGAGAAUGAGUUUCGCUCCAUACGGGUCGACGCCUUGCCGCCAAUGUCAGAUGCGAUUUAUCUCUUCAGCUGCUUCCAUGACAACGCAAAGGUAUCUCUCUCUCUGUUUAUCUUAUUAAGAAUUUUGAGGAAAAAUUAUUGAUAUUCUCCUCUUGUAGGUUUUGGCUGCAACCGUUUUGCGUAACUGGCGAACAGGAUUGCCGCUAGGUUAUGGUUUCGUGGAGUUUGCUUCUCACAGCGAUGCUGAGUUUGUCUUGGAAUCCUACAACGGUGAGCGGAUGCCCAACUUCAAUCAUGAGAGAUUCUGCCUCAGCUGGGACACUGAUGGUUCCGGUGCAAGGUGGCGCUGGGAUUAUACUUACGAGAGAUGCUCUUUCUUUGGUUAUAAUAAGAUUGGUAAUGAAAUGGAUGCCAAAACAAUGAUUGAGAACUACAUGGACUCCGUACCCUCUGUUGUUACUACAAAGCGAGCUUACCCGCAAUGUAUGUACGUAUUCUAGACAUGAAUAUGGAACUGUAGGAUUUGGAAAGCUAUGACGUUAUAAUUGUUUGAGUUGAGAUGCUUGAUGGUGUUUCUGAAAACUAUGUCGAGUGUUCUAGUGUGUGCAUGUGUUUCCGAGUAUGUGCGUAUGUAAUCUUAUUACGUGCCUACACCAGUGCUUACGAGCUCUCAUCUUGUGCAGCUGCCUACCCAAAUAGUCCUGCUGCCUAUAUGGAAACAGAUGGUGACAAGCGUUUGAAGCUUGUGGACAUGCCUCUAACUCAUCCUAACAUGUAUCAACAAGGAUAUGCUGGCCCUAGUCUUACAAUCCAACAGGUUGUUUAUUCAGACCUUUUAUCCUUCUUGGUUCUUUUCAUUGAUGCAUGUUAACAGCCUUUUCUUUGUUGAUUCAGAACCAACCAGACCCGAUGCAGCGGAAUGGUGGUUGUGGUGCUGGAUAUGUUAAUGACCAAGUUCCUAAGAGAGCUCUGGAAAUGGUUUCCUCGAUGAAAGAGGAGAAGGAGCUGUAUCUAGGUUUCGAAGAAGUCAACUAUAGAAGAAGUUGUUACGUCUUCCGCACCAUCAAACUGUCCGAGUUAUUGGUUUGCUCUUGUAAAUUCAACAGAGAAGCUCGCGAAAUUACCAGGUGCGUCAAUUGUGCCUCCAAAACCAAAAAGGGAUCUCAGUUGCUCCAGCGGGCUUGGCUCUUCACCGGGGAGAAAGUCCCCGAAAGCUGCGGCGGCAAGGAUGUGAAAAUCCCAACGCGUAUGGGUAGCUGUGCCUACGGCUCCCGAAUCAUCUUCGCCGGUGGCUUGGUUCCCCGACCAGAUGAGGAAACAACAAUGACUGCGGCCCAUGUGCCUUGUGGAGAUGUGUAUAGUUUUGAGCCGGAGUCUUGUGUGUGGAAAAGGCUUGAUUGGAGUAUCCCGAAGGCGAAACCAGAGCCCUUGCUUUUUGAGGUGAACGGAAAUCUCUAUUGUCUUGCCGGUGCUCCUCCUGAACAUCCCUCUUUCGAGGUAUACGAUAGCAGUUCUCGUGAAUGUUUGUUUCUGCCGCAUCCUCCAGAUAGCAUUCCGGAACUAGAUAAUUGGCGUGGUUAUGUACAUUACAGGUCUUUUAAUAGAUUGGCUUGUGCUGUUGUUGGAUCCAAGAUCUUGAUCUCGAGCAUGGGGAACGUGCCAGCCUAUUACAUUCCCAUUAUUUGCUUCGACGUGAAUGACAAGAAACAGAAAUGGAGAAUGAUAACAUCCUUGUUCGAUGGUAAGCCUUUUCCCUUCGAUGGUAGGGCUUUAGUCUUGGACUUGGAUGAUGGUACACAUGAUAAGGUCAUGUUCUCUUUUCGUAAUGAGGGUGAGAUAUCUGUCUCUCGAUUAGUAGUGGAUGAUGAUGGCGAUAUAAGCAUCUCUUACGAAAAAUGGUUGGGGAUUUUUCGCUUGCUCUGUACCUUCGUGUGUAAACAUUCUCCAUCGUCAUACACCUUUGUCGAUCUUGGAGAUAAAACUGUUGCCUUUGUUGUGUGUGCAAACAUGUUUUCUGGGAUCAAGGCUCUUGGGAAGGUGCGUGUUGUUGUCGUAGUAAUUUGCUAUGAUGUGUUGGGCUCAAAAAAAAUCACAAGUGAGAUCCUGGCCACUCGCACAUUUGAGUACAAUUGUCAUUCCUCGGGCGUCAUGUAUACUAAGUUUACCAGUGGCUUUGUGCUCUAACUCAAUCCAUCCAUUGGUAAUUCCUCCUCUUUCUCUUCAGUAUAAAUGUUUAGAGUGAGUGCUAUCUCAAACCAAGAAUUAAUGUUAGACAUGGUUGGUCCUUAUAUAUAGGUCUUUAACUUGUACUGAAUCUAGCUAGCUAUUGCCCAUAUUCAAGAAGUUGUGGACUAGUCGUGACAAUCAUGUGCAGCAACCCUAUUUAUUUCCUCCGAUCAAAAGACAGCAUGAAUGAGAUGCACAUUGCACACACAAUGCACAUUGUACUUUUCUCUUGAUCUUCAGGAUCUGGUUUGUAAAUUUGCGGUGUUGGUGUGCACCUUGUCUGUAACAGAAUAUUUGGAUCAAUAUUUAUCUUUCUAGACGAACCAACAACGGGCCACUCAAGUUGUAUUUUCUUUACCAGCAUAUUAGAUGUUGUUAAGAUAAAUAUUCCUUUUUGUGGGUAUAUUGAAUUCUGCUGUUCUAUCAUUCUGUAUGGAAAAUUGGAACAUUGAAAGAUAUGGACAAGGCACAUGAAUCAAUUAUGUGUUUAGGAAAGCCGAUCAUGCUUUUAGAAACUUUGUUAGUCGGUAAUGUCUGUCUGCACUGUGAUUGUAUUUUGAAGUUAUUGUUGUGCAUGUCUCAAUGUUAAGGUCUGACAGUGUAUUUAAAAUAGAAAACUAGAGAAGUUCAUUAGAACCUAAGCUGCAUGUAAUGGACAAUGCCUACAUUGAGUUAUGAUAAUUAGAAAUGGAAAGAAAUUAGGCUUAUGGAAAUACCUCCAUAGAUUUCUAUCAAUUGAUCUUGUAAAGAUUACCUAAAGGAGGGUUUUGGGGGAAGAGGCCGACGAACAAAACGAUGAUCUCUACUGAAAUAAUUGGGCUCUGUAUCUAAUAAUGGGCUAUGGGUCAGGGCAAAUCUGGAACUGGGCUCCGGUCCAACCCAAGACAUGACAAAACAAAACCCUAAUCGGAGAUCUUGCAAGUCCUCGAGCCAUGUCGUAUCCUGAGGAGAAUGAGAUUCGCUCCAUACGGGUCGACGGAUUGCCGCCGACGAACGAUGCGAUUUAUCUCUUCAGCUGCUUCCAUGACAACGCCAAGGUAUCUCUCUAUUUAUAUAUUUAUUUGAGGAAAAAUCAUUGAAACUGAACCUUGGAAUUCUCUCUAGGUUUUGGCUGCAACGGUUUUGCGUAACUGGCUAACACAAGUGCCGCUAGAUUAUGGUUUUGUGGAGUUUGCUUCUCGGAGAGAUGCUGAGUUUGUCUUGGAAUCCUACAAUGGUGAGCGGAUGCCCAACUUGAGUCAUGAGAGGAGAUUCUGCCUCAGCUGGGACACUGAUGGUUCCGGUACUAGGUGGCGCUGGGAUUAUUUUUACCAAGGUUGCUCUUUCUUUGGUUAUAAUGAUAUUGGUAAAGAUCUGGAUGCCUAUACAGUGAUCAAGGAGCUGCAAUGUAUGUAUUCUAGCCUUGUAUUUCGUUCACUCUUAAAUCAUAAUGUUUUAUAAUUAUAUACUUAGGUUCAUGUCUAUCCUUUACACUAUAAUUUGCUUUCAAGCAGCCAUGAAUAUUGUAUGUCGAGUUUUCUAGUGUGUGCAUGUGUUUCUGAGUAUGUGCUAAAUUAGAACUGUUUUAUUAAGCAUGUGUUUCGAGUGUUCUAUGCUUAAUAACUGCCUACACCAGUGCUUACGUGCUCUUAUCUUGUGCAGCUGCCUGCCCAAAUACGUGUGGAGAUUCAGGGGACACAGAAAACCAGCUAGAUCAUGCAAAGUCGAAUGGUUUAAGUCCUGAUGGCUAUUUGGAAACGGAUGUUGACAAGCGUUUGAAGCUUACGGACAUGCCUCUCACUCAUCCAAACAUGUAUCAACAAGGAUGUUCCGGCCCUAGUCUUACAAACCAACAGGUUGUUUAUUCAGACCUUUCAUCCUCCUUGGCUCUUUUCAUUGAUGCAUGUUAACAGCCUUUUCUCUGUUGAUUCAGAACCAACCAGACCCGAUGCAGUGGAAUGGUGCUUGUGGUGCUGCAUAGGAAAUACCGACUUGACCGGUGUCCUUGUGGUCUAACUCAAUCCAUCCAUGAUCCAUAUAUUGGUAAUUCCUCCUCCUCUUUAUCUUCCGUAGGUAUUAAAGUUUAGAGGGAGUGCUGGUCAAACCAAUAAUUACACUUGUUAAUGUUAAACAUGGUUGGUCCUUAUUGCUUUCUUUGCAUUUGGUUUGUACAUUGUUCACUAUAAACUAAAGAACAGAAAGUUCCGUUGUAGUUUGAUUGAUCACCCCCACCCCAUUUUUAUCAAGAGAAAUAAGCUAUUUUACACUAUGAGCAGUCGAUCUGUGCAUUCAAUGUAGAAGUAAGUAGGCGUCACAGAAGCCUUUAUGCAUUCCAUCCAUGGAUUUGAAAUAUUUAGAUUCAGAUUACGACUUAGAAUGCAUGGUGAUCGAUAUCAUUUAUGUCUUGUAACUGUUGUUUUGAUCCAUUUGCAGGUAUUGUGGUCUGGCAGAUGAGAAUCACAGGUUGGGACUUCUGAGAGUGUCCUUGUGAAAUAGGAAAGUUGAAUGGAGAUCAUUUAUCAAUGCAAUGGACGUGCUUAUAAGAACUUAGGUAGUCGGUUAUGUCUGUUUGUGAGUUUGGGGAACUGGAAUUGGUGCACUGUGAUUGUGUUUUGAAAUUAUUAUUGUGCAUGUAGAAUCAAUUAAUUUGUCUGUUUUGCGAUUCUGAUGAGGUCUGACAGUUUACUUAAAAUAUAAGUUAAUUAGAACCUAAAAUACAUGCCUACAUAGAACUAUACUUCAGGCAGGAAAAAAAAAAUGUUCGACUCUAGUGGACUCCCAAAUUAGAGCUACACACAAAAAUGUUGAGCCCCUUUUCGACAACAGCAUCGUGGAUGAGUUUGAGUGACUCUUCUAAAUCAUCCAACAACUUUUCAGGAUCAGGAAUCACAUUGGGGUCAACAACUAAGCUCACCAAAAUGCAGCAACAAUUUUUAGCGAAAGUUGAGAGAACAAAAUGAUGAAACCUUUUUUAUCAAUUGGUUUAAAAUCAGUACCAGAAGUAUAAACGAAAAUAGAGAACCUACAUGGGGGUGGCCGUAAACAUUAGGAGCAGUAAUAGCUAAUUUCUUCAAGGGGACCAAUCAAGUUUGUGAAGGCUAGUGUCGAGUUACAAAGAACUCUGUGUGCUACUGCUCUUGCUCCCUGUAAGACCAUACGUACCAGAGCAUGAAGCAGCUGUAACUGUGUAACUCAAUAUGAAUUAUGAUUUUGUACCUUGGCUUCAAUCAGUUUGGUUAAAACAUUGGCACGUAAGUAUGUGCAAAAUGCUUCAAGCGAGUGCUUUUUUCGAUCAACAUGCGACUUGGCUCCACGAACAUAAUCCAAAGGGUCAUCUUGUAGAGCAAUGGUGAAGGGGACAAGGACAUAUCCAAUCCUAUUGCCCCACUUUGUCUUGGAUUUCUUAGCCAUCAUAUCAGCCAGAUCCUGUUAUAUAUGUGUAAUUAGAGAACAUUGGAGAAAAGUCAUUUGUAUAAAUAUUUACAGAAACGCUGACUAAAUUAUAAGCAUAAGCUUGAGGGUUGAGGAAUGCUAGCUAGCUAGGUAUAUAUUUGAUUACCUGGAUCCCAGCAGCUGAUCGUAAAUUAACGAGAAUAUUUUCUCUAAGCCAGAUGCUUUUUGGAAGAUUGUUUCCCUUCUUCUUUGCUUCCUCAUCUUUCUCAUUUUCACCUGCUGCAAAACACAGAAAUGUGCUAUUAUGUACUGGUGAGUAUUUUGAGGUUUUGACAAAUUUUUUCUCUGGUAUCAGUGAAUAUGAUAAUAUGUAUGAGGAAAUGGAAAAUGAUCAUUAGAAGCUAUAGUUCAACUUAAAUGAUAAGAUGAAUAGAUAAAUCUGUGUUAUGGUUCUAGAAGUUGUACUACCCGAUUUGAAUAGUAGAUCAUACAGAAAGAUACUAUGGGAGGUCUGGUAAUAUGUAAACAGAAACUAAAUAUGAGUCCUAUCAGAUGUUUGAGGCAAUCCCCAUCAGUACAUGGCUCCUAAACCACAUACUUUUAUCAGUUUAUGACGCCAUGACCAAAUGUUAUGGUUUAAACUACUUCUGAAGUUGAAAUCAUGCUUAAAUCAACCCAUAACUUCUUAAUUUGUUAAUAUGUAUAUGAGCAUAUAGAGUAGAAUCAGUUUAAAGCUGGUAUGUUGUUCAUUUCAGCCAAAAUGUUCUUGACAACUACUUAAUUUGCAUGUAUAUCAGUCAUUAUGAAUUUGAAUCGCAGUCAGAGAUAUAUACUGAAUACUAAAACUAUAAGGAUGUCUGGUUGACAUACCAUGUUCAUAGCAUUCUUUACUUGCUUGAUGUGAUCCAAACUAACCGUUCGAUGCAAGAAGCGCUUGGCAGUAAGCUCAACACCAGCCAUUAAUAGGAGUCUUUGUAUCUUUCAAAAACAGAAUAGUGGCAACAAACAGCACAAGAUCAACAAAAGUGUUCCCCAUCAAUGUUACUGCUGACCAAAUAGAACCACCAGAACACGCUCGAAUCACUUGAAGAACUACCCUCAUGUUUCCUCUGGUUUGGACUAGGCAAAGCAUCCGGGUCAGAUGUUUUUCUGGUACAAGCUAGUAGAAGUGACAUGAGGGAUGCACCAUCCCCCAUCGAGUGGUGAAUCCGAAUCACUGCAACGGCUUCUGCAUCAGAGGUUUUGAGGACAUGGACUUCCCAUAUUGGCUCGGAAAGGUCAAGAGGGCUUGUGGUAAGGUGGGAAAUGUAGUCUCUAACAAACUGGUCAGCAUCCACCAUAACAUUGGCAUCUAAGGGGAAAUAAUUGAGGGUCUUUCAUAGCUGAAUAUAGAAAAAAAAAAAAAAAACUAGUCUACAGUGUUUUUGCUUAAAGUGCUACUGCCUGCCAUGCCUAAGGCGACCCUGCCGGCCACUCAUCCAUCCUGUCUGCGCAUGUUGAAGUUCGAUUGGUUUUUGUUCUGUGUUAAAUUUAAUGUCUGCUUCAAUCAUCAAGAUGUAAACUUGACGCACUACUCUUGGAAACAGUUUGUAAUGCUUCUACCUUAUCUGCCAAACUGAACGAAUGUUCUAUUUUGUUAGGUUCCACAUCUGAUAAAUAUGUUUUGACUAUAAAAUCUAUAACCUCCUUUAUGAUAAUAUUAUUAUCUUUUGCAAGUUUGGCAACAUAUUUACUAGUCUUUUCCAGUUCAUCUUGGUAUAUGUCAUACUCUUUUUUGUUAUAUCUGCGUAUAGUUUCAUUCAAAUGUUGUAGGACAUCCUUUUAGUAGUGGAUAAACUCUUUGCCGUCCUUAGAUUAGUAAUGUUUAUAAUUAUCGUACACUUCUUUAAAGAAUUUGGUUGUUUGUACCCCUCUUGUAUGACCUCAUCUAAAAUGUUUCUAUGGUCAGUCGUGGUAUCUUCUAAAUAAGGUCAUCACAUAUUGCUCUUUGUGUAAUCUCAACAUACGCAUUGUACACUAGGAUCCCUUUCUCUUCUGAUGUUAGUAACGAAAGAUGAUAGUAAAUUAUAAUUUUCUAAGUAUCAUGCUUCGUUAUUAACACCAGAAGAGAAAUCUCCGAUGGCUUUUUCCGGUCAGCCUUAGGUAAAUCCACACACUCAUUUACGUUAUCAACUAUUUCUCAUGCAAAAAUACAAACCAAAAACCACCACCACCAUCACCAACCCCAAGACCACCAAGCUAACCCCAAAAACCACCACCAAAAUUCUAGAACUGGCCCAAAACAGGAUCGGGCAUCUUUUUAUUCAUACCCACAAGCCGAGAGCUGCUCCGCUUUCGCCGGAAUCGCUCUCCGGCAAAAACCCAAACUGUCCUGGACCUUUGCUGCCGAAAUCCUUCACGAUUGCAACCCUCGAUUGAACACCACAGAGAAAGACGAUCUAACCCAAUAACACCCCCUCCAGCCAUCACCAUGAAGUUUAAAGGGAAAUUGUAUGUGAUUACUUGAUUAUUGCACCUUACUGCAACUUUUGGACCUUUGAACUUUCAGUUGAAGUUCUUCUUUGAAUACACAAACCAUAGGUGGCGCAUCCUAUCAAAAUUUGUUUUGAUUUUUGUUUAGAAAAAAGAAAGAUUAAAGUAAAGGGGGAGCUAAAGUAAAAUUAGAAAAUAAUGUAUUUUAUUACUAUAAAUACAUAUUAUUAACUAUGGUUAGUGUGGUUAAACAAAAAAAACAUGUGUCAUUCAUUUAGAAAGACGAGGACGAGGGUGGGGAGCAAAUUUGCAUCCCCUUUUUAGGCUAGUCUUCUUGGAUACAAAGUUGUACUAGGUAAAGAGGCUAAUAUUAUAUAAAGGGGUUUAUUCUCUUUUUAAGAGCGUCGUGUUUAUAAUGCCCUAUAGGGUGAUUUUUCAAGUUCCCAACUUUUCUCAGAGAUGGGUAAUUAAGGUUUACUUUUAUUUUUCAAAAAAUAUAUGGUCACAAUAAAAAUAGAAGGUUCAAUCGAUUGAUAGGUAGGAGGUCGAUCCAACGAUACAAAUAAAUACUCGUCUUACCUAAUUAAUUAACUUUUUCUAUUGAAGGGUCAGAGAGAAAUUAUCUUCUCAAAUAAAAUAAAAAGGUCAAAGAGCAAUAUAUGAAACGGUUUUAGUGUUGGUUCAAAAAUUUAUUACGAAGGUUUUUUUUAUAAAAAAUUGUAAUGGAGUUGCGUAGUUAUUGCAAUCCGGCCAUUGAUUCAGUCUCUUGAGUCUCGUCCUUGAUUGACAGUCGUAAUCUUGUAGAAAUAGAGAAGAUUAAUAGUACUCAUAUGCCUUUUAUUUGUUAGGAGAUAAAUGCUCAAAAUAUGUAGCUACAUAUGACCCAAAAUAGCUUAUUUUUUCUUUCAUACAAAAUGGCACGAAUAUUUUUUUUUGAACUUAAAAGACAAUUUUGUCAUUAGAAUCAAGUAGAGGGUACAAUACGAAUCGAUCCGCUGCUAUGCACAUAAAGGACAAGCAAAAUCACCUGAUUCGUAUGAAUGUUGUAUCUUCAUUACAAAUUUCGACUCACAAGGAGCCUAUAAUCUAAUGAAAAUAGAUCAUAGGCAAUUGUUUCUAACUAAAUUAGAGCAAAGAACAAGAAAAUAAAGCUCCCUCAUGUGAAAAGCAUGUACCAAGAGCAAUUGUUCCGCAAUAAACAAAUAACUGAAAUAAAUGCAGAAAGGGAAAUAGAAAAAGACUUCAAAAAACCUCCUUGCCCUUCAAGCUAGGGCUCUGGGGCGCUGCAGGUGGAGGGGUGAUGAUGGGAGGCUUCUCUUCCUCUUGCAUCUUCUUCUUAUCCUUUUUAUUCGUGAACCAACAGGGCGUCUUCUCUUCUUCUUGAAAGGAGCAAAGCCACGAUCUGAGAGAUUGACAACCUUCAAGUUGGUCAAGGCUAGAAAGGGCAGCGAAGGAUCUGAUAACCUCAUCAAUGGACAAAGUUUUGGUCGUUAACGAUGCUUGGCAAGGGUUUUGAAAAUCCAAAAAGGAUGCCAAGUCGAGUGAUGCAGCAAAUGAUCUCGUGACCUCGUCAAUGGAAAAGGUAUGAGAUCCCAUAGUAGAGUUCGACAUAGAGGUCUUCGAACAGGAGGGGGAGGAGGAGGAGACGCCAAGAAAGGCCAUAGUAGGGUUUCCUCUAAGAGAGGACAUCAAUAAGGAUGCAUAUGAGUUUUUGGAGGCUUUCUCUUAAAAAAAUAAACAAAGUAGCACGAAUAUAAGUUAUCUUUCUGUUAAAAAAAUAAACAAAGUGGCACGAAUUACAUGACAUGGCUAAAGAAAUGAUCAAAAACUUCUCUCCCCCCUUUCUGAUUAAUUAAAAAAAAAAAAAAAAAACCUUAGACUUUUCUCUAACUUUAAAGUUUAAACAACUGAGAUCCCUGAAGCCGCCCAUAUUGGCAAACCGAAAUUCUCCAUGUACACCGUAUGACAUGAAUAUGAGUGAAAAAACUUAGUUAGCUUGGUUUUUUGAGACGACCGAUUUAUAUUCAUUGUUGUUUAGUAUCGAACAUGCAAACGAACAGACUUUUCAAAAAUUAUUUUUAUUUUUACUGAUUACAUUUUCUUUUUUAAGAAGAGAUGUUUUUUUAUUUUUUAUUUACUGAUUACAUAAGAUUCAUAAAUUUACUGAUUACCUUUCUAGAAAAAGAAGAGGUUGAAGUUACUGAUUACAUAAGACUAUGAAUCUUUCAAUAUUUUUUGUUGUUGAACUUAUGAAUCUCAUCUUUCAAUAUAUGAAGUACUGAGUAUUUAAAAAAGGAAUUUCAAUAUAUCACCAAUUAUUUAUAACUAUAGGAAAGGCCGGAAGGGGGCUUAAUUUAGCAUUUUGGUUGCUUUCGUCUAGUCAUUGGAAAGGCAAAUGCAUCGUUUUCGCUCCAUUUGUAUACAAGAUAGCGGGGGAAACGGGAGUAAUGUUAAAUGGGUUUAAAUGUUUAAUAUCAAAUAAAUACUCGGGCAUUGUGACUAAUGCUAAAAUGGAAUUAACUUUUGUAGGUCUCUAUUACUGUAUAUGCAUGGACUUCCUGCGUAGGUUUUGAGGUCUUUAUACCGAUGAAUCAGUAUUACCCGUUACAUCACAAAUGGAGGAGGUAUUUACUACUGUCAAUUAAUAUUAACCUACUAUAAAUUAGACCAAGUCCGGGAACGCAGUGAGAAAAGGAACGACAACAGCGCAGUUCCUCAUAUGAUAAGAAGAAAGUGGAACCAGCGGUUUCUGAUACACAAGAUCUUAUCUCGUCGUGUGUAUGAGAUUUGCGAAAACAAGUAAUUUAUCUCCUUUGUUGGUUUUAAUUUCUAUGUUCAUCAAGCAAUCUUUUGUCCAGGUCUGAUCCUUAUCUCAGGUUUAUGUGAGACAGUCGGGAACAACAGGGAGAGGGAAGAUUAGUUUCUCAGAUAAAAAGGAGAUCUCAGAUAAAAAGGAGAGAGAUGGAUUAGUUUCUCAGUUAAACAGGAGAGAGAAGGACUAGGUUUGAGGUGAGUUCUUUGUUUGUUUAUUUUGUUUUAUCUGUUCAUCAACUGAUCUCUUGUUGGGUGUGGUUUCUCUAUGAGACAUGAAUCCUUAACCCUUUUGAUUUUGAUUUCUAUGCUCACCAAACAAUCUCUUGUCCAUGUCUGAUUGUAUUUGACUUGUUUUCUAAUCUCAGGUUAUGUGACAAGGAGAUUAGUUUCUAGCUCAGAUAAAAAGGAAAGGGAUGAAUUAGUGUCUCAAAUAAAAAAGAGAUGCGAGUAGUUCAUAUUCAGUAGGUUUGAGGUGAGAACUUUCUUUUGUUUGUGUUGAUGCAUCUGUUCAUCAACAGAUCUCUUGUUGAGGUGUGGUUUCUUGUCAAUUCAUGUUUUGUAGGUUACAUCAUAGUUUUCUGAAAAAUCUCUUGUUUCUUUUAUCCUUUUAAUUUUAGCGUUCAGAUUGAAUUUAUUUUUCCUUCCUGAUUUCAUUUCAAGUAUAUGAAAGAGUUUUAAUAGAAUCCCCAAUUUUAUUUUUAUUUUUAGCUAUUCAUAUCAUGAUUGUUUCUUUGACUGGGAACUGUCUUUUUAUUUCUUAUUUCUGUUUGUUCCAUGCUGAACUCCACUAUGCCAAAACUGGAAUAAAUGUUCUGCUAAAGGCUCCUCAAGGAGGAAAAAUUGAUGUUUUUGGUUUCACAUAACUUUUAUUGUCUAAGACUGAAUAUGAUCUAAAACUUGGGAAAAUUAUAAACUCAAAAUAUAGAGGUAGAGAGCAUCCUGAUUUCCAGAAUGAAACGCCGAGAGGCUAGCAAUAACUGUCCUUGUGUCUUUCACCAUAACAUUGGGAAAUAAUUGAGGGUCUUUCGUAGCUGAAUACAGGGGAAACAAAUAAAACUGUACAGAGUUUCUGCUUAAAGUGCUACUUCCUGCCCCCUGCUGGCCACGCCCAAAUCCACCCUGCUGGCCACGCCCAAAUCCACCCUGCUGUGCUUGCUGAAGUUUGAUUGGUUUCUCUUCUGUGUUAAAUUCAAGGCCUGCUUCAAUCAUGAAGAUAUAAACUUGACGCAUUAUUCCUGAAAACAGUUUUUCUAAUGCUUUUACCUUCUCUGCGAAACUUAAUAAAGGUACUAUUUUCAUGGGUUCCACACCUGAUAAGUAUGUGUUGACCAAAAAAUCUAUUGUCUCCUGGAAGGUAAUUCUGUUUUUUUCUGCAAUUUCAGCUACAUAUUUAUAUGCCUCUUUCACGUCAUAUUGGUAUCUAUCAUACUCUCUCUUAUUGUACCUGCGGAUAGUCUCAUUCAAAUGCUGCAGGACAUCUUUAUAGUAGUGGAGGAACCCCUUCCCGUCCUUGGUGUAGUAAUGCUUGUAAUCAUCAUAGACUUGUUUGAAGAACUUGGCCGCUUGUACCCCCUCUUGUAUGGCCUCAUCUAAAAUGGUUUCUAUGGCCAGUCGUGGUAUCCUCUGAAUAAGGCCAUUCCAUAUUCCUCUGUGGGUUGUAGCUCUUUGUGUGAUCUCAACGUACACAUUAUACACUAGGAUUCCUUUCUCCUCUGGUGUUAAUAACGAAGGAUGAUAAUACAAUUUUCUAAGUUUGUUCCUGCAUGAAUGAGAAAUAAAACCAAUAUGUUAUGCUGAACAACCAAUAUUUGUUUAUGUUUUUUGUCAAGUUAUGCAACACUUCAAAUAAAAAAGAUUACUUACACAUCGUUUUCUACUCUUGCUAGCAGGUUAAGAAAAUGAUUGAAGUCUCCCGGAUAGCAGUGUUCCUUUGGAUGAAGCUUUUCGGCCAAUCGGAAUAGGCAUGCUGGGUACAUUUCUAAAGUCUGGUAUGCUUCAUGGGUUCUGUCUGCAAUCUGCUUUAUUUUAUACCUUCCUCCGAUGUUGUCAAUGUCUAGUUUGCCUGAACAGUCUCCUUUUCUCAUCCUAUUGACGCAGUGGAAAAUAAGAUCCCUGUCAAGGCAGAUUGAUAAGUUAUUACCAUAUUAUUAUGUAUAUAGUUUUGAUUUGUAAUGUAGCAGAUUGAUAAGUUAGCAGACCAGUAAUAAGGUAGCAGAUUGAUCAGUUGAUACCAUAUCAUAUAUACUUUCAAAUCAAUUGGUAAAUGAUCAAGAUAUAUCUAUGCAAAGAAAGACAUGCAGUCAACAGAUGCAACUUUUCACAUAUGCAUACACGAUUAAAUUGCUUUUCUAAUAAUAGAAUUUUAAGAAAAAAUGAUUAAUUGACCCCUUGCAAUUUACAGGACAUGGAAGAAUCAAUUUCUACAUCUGAUACUAUAGAAUUAUUUGAUCUGCUGCUAGCCUGCUAUGUACAAGUUCUAUGCUAACAAUUAUAACAAGUACUAGUUGUUUGAUGUCUUAUUCAUUGCUAAAGACUUGAUGUUUCAUUGUUCUUGUUGUAAACGGUUAUGAUCAACUACUGUCUACAACGUACGAUGACAAAGUUAUGGUAUUUAGAUGAAAAACUGAAUACUGUAUUGUUUUUAUUAUUUGAAGACAUAUGAAAGCUGGAGAUUACAGACAGACAUGUAUUGUUUUUUUUACCUCUUUAGCUUUUGUGGCCUUUCAAGUGGUACCAAGUAAGGAACCCAAUUCCCAAUUGGCUCUCACUCUUGAUUGGUAGUGGUAUAUCAUUUUCAUGCAAGGUAAUUGGUUUAUGCAAUCCAAAAUCAAAAUGACAUAAUCAUACAAAUCCUUUUUAUGUAUUAUACUGUGGUGUAAAGGCUUUCAUACAAAGGAGGCAUAGUAAGGAUCAAUUCUAGACUUGCAACAGUCUCCAUCAAGCAGAAGAAUGCAACGUUAACUCUACAAUACACCUGCCAAACUCCAAAAGGAAGAGAGGAAAACCUACAAAGUUUGAUCUCUUUUGGGUUGAUACAAGUCUGGAUCUUAGUGGAUCAGGGCCAAUCUGGAAUUGGGCUCCGGCCCAACCCAAGAUAGGACAGAGGAAUAUAUAUACCUAAAAUGGGAUGCUAGAUUGUGUUUGUGAACUAAACAAAACCCUACUCGGAGAUCUUGCAAGUCCUCGAGCCAUGUCGUAUCCUCAGGAGAAUGAUCUUCGCUCCAUACGGGUCGACGGCUUGCCGCCGAAGAUGGAUGAGAUCUACCUCUUCAGCUGUUUCCAUGACAACGCAGAGGUAUCUCUCUAUUUAUAUAUUUAUUUCUGAGGUUUUGGAAAAAUUAUUGAAAUUCUCUGUAGGUUUUGGCUGCAACGGUUUUGCGUAAUCGGCGAUCAGGAGUGCCGCUAGAUUAUGGUUUCGUGGAGUUUGCUUCUCACAGCGAUGCUGAAUUUGUCUUGGAUUUCUACAAUGGUGAGCGCAUGCCCAACUUCAUUCAUGAGAGAUUCUGCCUCAGCUGGGACACCGAUGGUUCCGGUACAUUCUGGCGCUUGGAUUCUACCUACCGAGAUUGCUCUUUCUUUGGUUAUGAUGAAAAAGACAAUAUCAAGGAUGCCAAGUCAGUGAUUGAGCUCUACAAGGACUCCAUAACUUCUGCUCUUAAUAGAAAGCGAGCUUAUUUGCAAUGUAUGUAUUCUAGACUUCUCACUGCAUACAUAUAUCAACUUGUAUUUCAUUCUCUAUUAAUGUUUUAAAAUUAUACACUUAUGUUCAUGUGCAUCCUUUACAUUACAAGUAGCCAUGUUUGGAAAGCUACUCAGGUUGGGGAAAUGUUAUUUAGUGUUGCAUGCAAAACUGUAUAACGAUUCAAUUGUUUGAGUUGAGAUGUACCGUUUUUAUUUUAAAACUAUGUCGAGUGCUCUAGUGUGUGCAUAUAUGUGUUUCUGAGUAUGUGCAUAUGUAAUCUUAAUAACUGCCUUCACUAGCGUUUACGUGCUCUCAUGUUGUGCAGCUGCCUGCCCAAAUACGUGUGGAGAUUCAGGGGACACAGAAAACCAGCUAGAUCAUGCAAAGUCGAAUGGUUUAAGUCCUGCUGGCUAUAUGGAAACGGAUGUUGACAAGCGUUUGAAGCUUACGGACAUGCCUCUCACUCAUCCUAACAUGUAUCAACAAGGAUGUUCCGGCCCUAAUCUUACAAACCAACAGGUUGUUUUUUCAGACCUUUUAUAUAUCCUCCUUGGCUCUUUUCAUUGAUACAUGUUAACAGCCUUUUCUUUGUUGAUUCAGAACCAACCAGACCCGAUGCAGUGGGAUGGUGGUUGUGGUGCUGGAUAUGUUAAUGACCAAGUUCCUAAGGGAGCUCUGGAAAUGGUUUCCUCGAUGAAGGAGGAGAAGGAGCUGUAUCUUGGUUUCGAAGAAGUCAACUAUCGAAGAAGUUGUUACGUCUUCCGCACCAUCAAACUGUCUGAGUUAUUGGUUUGCUCUUGUAACUUCAAUAUGGAUGCUCGUGAAAUUACCGGGUGCGUCAAUUGUGCCCCCAAAACCAAACAGAAAUCGCAGUUGCGCCAGCGGGCUUGGCUCUUCACCGGGGAGAAAGUCCCGGAAAGCUGCGGCAGCAAAGAGGUGAAAAUCCCAACGCGUAUGGGUUCCUGUGCCUACGGCUCCCGAAUCAUCUUCGCCGGUGGCUUGGUUCCCCGACCAGAUGAGGAAACAACAAUGACGGCAGCCCAUGUGCCUUGUGGAGAUGUGUAUAGUUUUGAGCCGGAGUCUAGUGUGUGGAAAAGGCUUGAUUGGAGUAUCCCGAAGGCGAAACCAGAGCCCUUGCUUUUUGAGGUGAACGGAAAUCUCUAUUGUCUUGCCGGUGCUCCUCAUGAACCCUCUUUCGAGGUAUACGAUAGCAGUUCUCGUGAAUGUUUGUUUCUGCCGCAUCCUCCAGAUAGCAUUCCGGAACUAGGCAAUUGGCAUGGUUUUGUACAUUACAGGUCUUUUAAUAGAUUGGCUUGUGCUAUUGUUGGAUCCAAGAUCUUGAUCUCGAGCAUGGGGAACGUGCCAGCCUAUUACAUUCCCAUUAUCUGCUUCGACGUGAAUGACAAGAAACAGAAAUGGAGAAUGAUGACUUCCUUGUUCGAUGGUAAGCCUUUUCCUUUCGAUGGCAGGGCAUUAGUCUUGGACUUGGAUGAUGGUACACAUGAUAAGGUCAUGUUCUCUUUUCGUAAUGAGGGUGAGAUAUCUGUCUCUCGAUUAGUAGUGGAUGAUGAUGGCGAUAUAAGCAUCUCUUACGAAGGAUGGUUGGGGAUUUUUCGCUUGCUCUGUACCUUCGUGUGUAAACAUUCUCCACCGUCAUACACCUUUGUCGAUCUUGGAGAUAAAACUGUUGCCUUUGUUGUGUGUGCAAACAUGUUUUCUGGGGUAAAGGCUCUUGGGAAGGUGCGUGUUGUUGUCAUAGUCAUUUGCUAUGAUGUGUUGGGCUCAAAAAGAAUCACAAGUGAGAUCCUGGCCACUCGCAUCUUUGAGUACAAUUGUCAUUCCUCGGGCGUCAUGUAUACUAAGUUUACCAGUGGCUUUGUGCUCUAACUCAAUCCAUCCAUUUGUAAUUCCUCCUCUUUCUCUUUAAGUUAUACUGAAUCUAGCUAGCUAUUGCCCAUAUUGAAGAAGUUGUGCACUAGUCGUGACGAUCAUGUGCGGCAACCAUAUUGAUUUCCUCCGAUCAAAAGACAGCAUGAUUGAGAUGCACAUUGCACUCAGCUGAUUUAUUUAUUAUUUAUUUUUGUUUCUAACAAAAAAAAUUACUGUUCUGCCUAUUUUGAGUUUGGAAAGACCUAUUGCUUUCUUUGCGUUUGGUUUGCACAUUGUUCACUAUAAACUAAAGAACACAAAGUUCCAUUGCAGUUUGAUUGAUAACCCCACCCCAUUUUUAUCAAGAGAAAUAUGCUAUUUUACACCAUGAGCAGUCUGUGCAUUCAAGGUAGUUGUAAGUAGAGACGUCACAGAAGUAGUAAGUAGGCUUUGAAAUAUUCUGAUUCAGAUGACAAUUUACAAUGCAUGGCGAUGGCAAUAUCAUUUAUACGUUGUAACUUCUGUUUUGAUUCAUUUGCAGGUAUUAUGUUGUGGCAGAGGAGAAUCACAGGCUGCGACUUGUGAGAGCGUCCUUGUGAGAUGGAAAUAAGUUGAAUGGAGGUCAUUUUUCAAUGCCAUGGAAAUCUGUUCCUUGUACUUUUAUCUUGAUCUUCAGGAUUUGGUUUGUAAAUUUGCGGUGUUGGUGUGUACCUUGCCUCUAACAGGAUAUUUGGAUCAAUAUUUAUCUUUCUAGACGAACCAACAACGGGCCACUCAAGUUGUGUUUUCUUUACCAGCAUUUUAGAUGUUAAGAUAAAUAUCUUUUUUGUAGGUAUAUUGAAUUCUGCUGUUCUGUCAUUCUCUAUGGAAAAUUGGAACAUUGGAAGUGGACAAGGCACAUGAAUCAAUUCUGUGUUUAGAAAAGCCAGAAUGACUGUCUGCACUGUGAUUGUAUUUUGAAGUUAUUAUUGUGCAUGUCUUAAUGUUGGUAGAAUCAAUUAAUCUGUCUGUUUUGUGAUUCUGAUGAGGUCUGACAAUCUACUUAAAAUAGAAGUCAACUAGGGAAGUUAAUUAGAACCUAGACUACAUGUAAUCGACAAUGCCUACAUAGAACUAUACUUCAGGCAGAAAAAUAAUGUUCGACAUCUAGUGGACUCCUAAAUUGGAGCUAAACACAGCUGCGUCUUCCUUCUUUGGCAAUGUUGAGCCCCUUUUCGACAACAGCAUCGUGGAUGAGUUGGAGUGACUCUUCUAAAUCAUCCAACAACUUUUCAGGAUCGGGAAUCACAUUGGGGUCAACAGCUAAGCUAAUAGUCAUUUUAUCAACAUAGCUUUGAAAAUGUAUAUGCAAUGCCUGCACCAAAAUGCAGCAACAAUUUUGAUAAAGAGAACAAAAUGAUGAAACCUUGUUUGUCACAUGGUUUAAAAUCAGUACCAGAAGUAUAAACGAAAAGAGAGAACCUACAUGGGGGUGGCCGUAAACAUUAGGAGCAAUGUAGGUAACUGGAUGUCCGUAAUAGCUAAUUUCUUCAAGGGGACCAAUCAAGUUUGUGAAGGCUAGUGUCGAGUUACAAAGAACUCUGUGUGCUACUGCUCCUGCUCCCUGUAAGACCAUACAAGCAUGAAGCAGCUGUAACUGUAUAACUCAAUAUGAAUUAUGAUUUUGUACCUUGGCUCCAAUCAGUUUGGUUAAAACAUUGGCACAUAAGUAUGUGCAAAAUGCUUCAAGCGAGUGCUUUUUUCGAUCAAGAUGCGACUUGGCUCCACGAACAUAAUCCAAAGGGUCAUCUUGUAGAGCAAUGAUGAAGGGGACAAGGACGUAUCCAAUCCUAUUGCCCCACUUUGUCUUGGAUUUCUUAGCCAUCAUAUCAGCCAGAUCCUGUUAUAUACUUGUAUAUGUGUAAUUAGAGAACAUUGGAGAAAAGUCAUUUGUAUAAAUAUUUACAGAAACGCUGACUAAAUUAUAAGCAUAAGCUUGAGGGUUGAGGAAUGCUAGCUAGCUAGGUAUAUAUUUGAUUACCUGGAUCCCAGCAGCUGAUCGUAAAUUAACGAGAAUAUUUGCUCUGAGCCGGAUGCUUUUUGGAAGAUUGUUUCCCUUCUUCUUUGCUCCCUCAUCUUUCUCAUUUUCACCUGCUGCAAAACACAGAAAUGUGUUAUUAGAUAAUGGUGAGUAUUUUGAGGUUUUGAUAAAUUUUUUCUCAGGUAUCAGUGAAUAUGAAAAUGUGUAUGAGGAAGUGAAAAAGGAUCAGUAGAAGCUAUAGUUCAACUUAAAUGAUAAGAUGAUCAUAAAUCUGUGUUAUGGUUCUAGAAGUUAUACUACCAGAUUUGAAUAGUAGAUCAUACAUAUUGGAAAUUUCAAGUGACUAAACUGCUUUUAGAAGUUGGGAGUUGGAAAUUUCUCUGAAGCCUCCAAGGUGUUAUCCAAGUGAAAAGAAAGAGGAAAUACGGUACUGGUUACUAAGCUAGUAGUAACAGAACACAGAUAUAAUCUUCAGAGUUAGGCCAAGAGAUCUUACCAUAUUUGUAGUUCAAAUAUUGCGAUAGACCCGCUUGUGUCACUCCCAAUACAACAUCGUUGAUGGUCUGGUAAUAUGUACACAGAAACUAAAUAUGAGUCCCAAUCCCCAUCAUUACAUGGCUCCAAAAAACCACACAUACUUUUAUGAUGGCCUGACCAAUUGUUAUGGAUUAAAUUACUUCUGAAGUGGAAAUCAUGCUUAGAUCAACCCAUAACUUCUUAAUUUGUUAAGACUUAUAUGAGCAUAUAAAGUAGAGAGUCAGCUAAACGCUGGUAUGUUGUUCAUUUUCAACCAAAAUGUUCUUGACAACUACUUAAUUUGCAUGUAUAUCGUGAUUAUGAAAUUGACUCACAGUCAGAGAUAUAUAUACGGAAUACUAAGACUAUAAGGAUGACUGAUUGACAUACCAUGUUCAUAGCAUUCUUUACUUGCUUGAUGUGAUCCAAACUAACCGUUCGAUGCAAGAAGCGCUUGGCAGUAAGCUCAACACCAGGUGGACCUUUAAUAGGAGUCUUUGUAUCUUUCAAAAACAGAAUAGUGGCAACAAACAGCACAAGAUCAACAAAAGUGUUCCCUAUCAAUGUUACUGCUGACCAAAUAGCCAAUAACAACCACCAGAACACACUCAAAUCACUUGAAGAACUACCCUGAUGUUUCCUCUGGUUUGGAACACUAGGCAAAGCGUCCGGGUCAGAUGUUUUUCUGGUACAAGCUAGUAGAAGUGACAUGAGGGAUGCACCAUCCCCCAUCGAGUGGUGAAUUCGAAUCACUACAACGGCUUCUGCAUCAGAGGUUUUGACAUUGACGAUAUGGACUUCCCAUAGUGGCUUGGAAAGGUCAAGAGGGCUUGUGGUAAGGUGGGAAAUGUAGUCUCUAACAAACUUGUCAGCAUCCUCCAUAUCUGAAUCCAUGUUUGGAACAAUAACAUGAUCCUCCAUAUUUACUGAAACUUGUAUCCAUCUCUUCUUACCACAUAAGUUUCUGUCCUUCACCUACUAUCAAAAAUUUAUCGAAGUCAUAAGAGAGAGAAGCAGUUCAUGUUCCAAAUUAUAGAUUGUACUUUUGAUUCCAAUCUGAAAAAGUGUUCUGCACCUUACACCUACAUAUUGUUCUUUUUGAGAAAAUAUAUAGCUCUACCUAUGAUUCUACUAAAAAAUAGAAAUGCAAAGCUUCAAUGCAUGUUCCGCAGACUAUAUAUUGUACUUCUUUACAUGUUAAUUUCAAAGGGCAUAAACUAAGAACAUAUAUAUAUGCAUAUAACAAUGAAGAAAAGAAGCAUUUGAUCAGAAAAGAAAUAGGAAUAGAAUUAUUCUAUUAUACCAUUAUGCUAGAGAACCGAGGAUGCAUAGGCAAGUGUUCCUUCAAGCCGGCGCUGAAUACUUGAGGAUUGAUCCAGGUGCUGCAGCCCAUUCUCACAACAAUGUAACAGCUGAACUUUGGCGAGUGAAACAGACGCCCUGUUGGGCUUAGACUUGGCCGCGGAUCUUCCAUCUCUGCCUCAAAGUUGAGUAGCAAGCUACUUGUGUUCUCCAUCUGGGUAUUUUCUUGUCUUUGUAUCCAUGGUGAUGCUUCAAUAUGUGGGGAUUCUGGGGAAGUGUGAGCUUGGAUUAAUAUUUAAAGCUUGGGUCAGAGAGUACUGAUGGGGUUUGAAGUUUGAACCAAGUGAAGGUAGUGAUUCAACUAGAAAAGGUUAUGUACCGGACUAGCUUGGUUUCCUGAUCGGGAAAGUUCUAACUGUUCUAUGAAGACUGGAAUAACAGAAUCUAAAUGGGAGUUGGGAACUGUUUCAUUUUCUGGUAGAGAUCGUCUUUGAUCGAAGACAACAAAAGUGCAUUGACUUGUAGACGUGAUAAUAAUGGGCCAUGAAACUAAGCCCAAGAAGGAAGAACCUAAAUUGCAUAAUAACAACCAGUAUUAUUUGGUUAAGUUAACUUUAGCCAUUAGCUUAUCAUCGAUUGGGGGUGUAGCUCAUAUGGUAGAGCGCUCGCUUCGCAUGCGAGAGGCACGGGGUUCGAUUCCCCGCACCUCCAUUCUUUUCUACACAAGUUUUGCUGCUCUCUUUUUUUUNUUUUUUUCCCCCCCCCCCACUCUUUUCGGUUUUUCCCUCUCUUUUUUUGGUCAAAGGUUUUUCCCUCUCACCAUCGACAUUUCUACAUAAGUUUUUGCUGUUUUUUUCUCCCCCACUUUUCGGAUUUUCCCUCUCACCGUCGAGAUUUGGUUAUGUUUCUUGGGGUUCGGCUGCUAUACAUACAUAUGUGUAUGACAUACAUCAAACCGUGAACCGUCUGAUCAUUUAACAAUUUAAAAUUUAAGACGAUCUGACGGUUCACGGCUUGAUGUAUGCUAUACAUAUAAGAUCUGACGGUUCACGGCUUGAUGUAUGCUAUACACAUAUGUAUAGUAGAAAAGUCUAUGUUCUUGUUAAUAUAUCAUUUAAUUAAAUUAAGGGAAAGAAAUUACAUAAUAAUAUGCAUCCACAGGGGGUUGGUUUGUAGGAUUUGUAUAGAGCUAUAGUUUGGAUGUCACUCUUUCAAUGUGGUCCAAAGUCCAAAUUGAGUGCAUGAACCUAGCUAGCUAUAGCUAUAUGAACAAGAGGCCUCUUUCCAUCCAUCUUUAUAUCUCAUUUUUAUAUCACAUUGGUAAUUAUGGGUAAUUUAGCAGAAACGACGAUGACAUUCUCUAAAGGACAAUCGUAACAUAUCUACGUGCUAGCUUGUUUUGUACCUAUAUGUAUAUUUAUAUAUGUACAAUAACGGAUCACUGUCAAUCAUCAACUCAUUAGUGUUAUAGCUAGCGUUAUAUAUAGUUGUGGAGUUGUCAUUUACUAUGGUACCAUCCCCCGUUUUUCUCACAAAACGUCAAGUUAGUUUGAUGCCGUGUCUAAUCAAAAUCCAUGGUAAUUAGCUACACAGAUACAGUAAGAUGCAUAUGUUGCAAUAAUCUCGGUGACAAUAUUCACACUAUUGUAUUUUCUAUUUUGUUUAAUCUUGGUGACAAUAUUCAUACUAUUAGUGUAUUUUGUCUAAUUUGGUUGGAAAGCUAAAUAAACCUCUAGAUAUAGAGAUUAAUUAUCCUUGAUCAUAUAUACCAUGGGAAAAGCAAAUGUUGGGUAGAAGUGGUUUUCAUCACUUUCCUCUUGUGGGAGAGAGUUUAUAUGUGACACGUACCGACAUAUUUGAUUGAACAAAGUAGACGUGGGACUGUGGUUUUUGUUUGAAACUGUGAAUCGAUGGUGAUGUUAAUUGGUUUCAAAGGGCAUGAGCUUUUGACCCUCCGGUGUCAUGUUUGUUCCUUGUGCGAUGUAAUGAUAUUAUGAGCUGAAUCCAGCACUUUAGUUAGGUCUGUAACUGAGUCUUGCAAAGAAAAGAAAAGAAAAGGUCUCUUCUAUCUGGACUUCUCUUGUCUUCGGAUCGAUCAACAACUUGAAGUAUAAAGAAACAAAAUAGCAAAUUUAAGUCAUGCAUGCAUGUCAUGUAUUAACUGAUUAACAUUUCUUUUUUAUAUUUAUGGAAAAAAAAAAAAUUCACAUUCUAGAUUAAUGAAUAUGAUAAUGACCUUUGCUCUUUUCAUAUUUGAUGGAUGUUAUAUUCUAGUCAUUGAUGAUAUAUAUGAUGAUUAUAACCGGUGGUGAUCGAGUGUUUUAGUGACCACUGAGCUAGCUAGCUGACAUCCAUCUCAUAUGUAUAUAUGCACACACAAAUUUCUAUUAAGAGCGAAGCUUCGAUUUUUCUUGACGUAGAUUUUCUAAAAAUAGGAAUGCUAGUGUUUGAUUGCAAUAUAUGUAAUUUAUAGAUAUACAACUGGUGAUAUUGUUCCGUUGUUUUCGUUUGAGAAGCAUGUGGACAACUCCAAAGACUAAGGCCAUGUAACCGUGUCUUGCCCAAAAGCAUUGAUAUUCAUGUAUCAUAAAGCUUGAUUUAUGUCUCACUCCUAAUGUCUUUGGCUCAUAUUGCUUCCUCCUUCUAACCUUGUCGAUUUCUAGCUAGUAUUUAUAAUGGACUACUUCUAUAUGAUAGAAGAAAAAUCUAUAUGAUUGAGGUCUCUCGAUUUAGUUUUCGGGGUAUGGAAUUCUAAGAGGGUAAUUAUAACAUGGGAUAUUUAGGUAUAUAAGUGGCGAAUUUUUGCAUCUUAUGGAAAAGGGUGCUAGUGUAUCAUUAUGGGUUGCUUAGAAAAGCAAAAUAUCAUUCUUAUUAUUGUGUGGUUCUAAGAGUUAAAUAAAGAUUGCAAAAGUGUAUUAUGGAGAUUUGCUGCAAAACAAUUCAACAAAUCAUGUGAUUAGCAAGAUGGCAUUUGGCAUUGUGCUCCCUACCAUCAGGGAACUAAGCACAUGCAUGUUUAUCAUUUCUGCAAUCAAUUCUCUGUUAGCUAGUUAGGUAUUUAACUUGUCGAUCAAUCAAUUCCUAUGUAUAAGAUCCACCACUCUCAUUUCUAUUACCAAUUAAAAGAGUCAACUCCUCGUCCUCGUAUUUCCUAUAAUUAAUGGACGGCAACCAUAUACAUUUGCGAUAACUUAACUUAGUCAGUGAUAACUUAACUUAGUCGGUAAUCAAGGGUUUAGGUUUUAUAUCCCUUAUUUGUAUUUGACAGUUUCAUUAAUGAAAAUUUGAGGGCAGCCGCAUCAGCCCUUUGUUUCAAAAAAAAAUUUGUCAGUAAAAAUUUACUUUUGUCACGUAUUUUACCCUAGGUUUUGAACAGACUGAAACUUUUAGAGUAUAUUUAGAGUUACUUGACAUGAAAUGAUAUAAAAUACGAGUUCUCAUUGAAUUUUUACUUCGUCGUUUCGAUCUUUAUAUUCGUAUAUAUGACAAAUACAUUAUGUAUACAGUGUGAUUGGAAGUCGUAUUUUCUAAAUUAGGUGAUAAUUGUCCAAAAAAAAAAAAAAACUAGCUAGCUUCUCACAUAUACAAUCGAUCACAUUGAGUAGUCAGUAGUUGAUGUUCUUAUUCCUGUCCGAUUUUAUAUGCCCUGCUUAUCUCUUGAUAAGUCAUAACCAUAUUAUUCUAAAUCAAGAAAGAUCCCUUUUCUCAAGAGAAUGAUCUUUGGGUUAAAGUGUAGAGUGAAAAAUAUCUUUCGACUUGAUCCCACGAUAUGUCUCUAGCUGCAUUAACAAGCUAACCUAAGCCUUGACAUUCCUUCACUGAUCGAGUUUAUGUCGACCCACUAAGUUUGAUCGUAAUUGUAACCGUAACCGUAACCAUAGACCAUAAAAAAAAAGAUGGAUUAAGAAGUAGGUGAAUCACUGGUUUCCGAUGGAGCUAGAAAGCUGAACCAAAUACUACCAUAAACAGAUGAACCAUCAUAGUAGUAGUUACUUCGAUUCAGUAGAGCAGUGAUGGAGGCAAAGAAAUCAAAAUUGCAUCACCCUAGCUAACUUUAGUUUUGGGUGGGUUGGUUGUGGGUGGUGUCGUUGUAUUCUUACGCUGUCGUUUCGUUAAUUUUUCACUCAUCUUAUCAUUACACGCAGAGGUUAAUUUUGAUUUAAUUAACAGCAACAUAUAAGUUAAUUACUCAUUUGCAGCAAGAAAAAAAAAGAAGAACAAAGUUCAUCUCGAUCAUAUUCGAAGUCUCACUACUACGACCUACUACGACUACUGUUCCCUCUUACACAGAAAAUUAGUCAAAUCCAUGACACUCAUGCACGACUUUACGUACUCCAUGGCCUAUUUAUAAUUCUAUUCUGUCGGUGAAUUCUGGAUGGGUGGCCAUCUUUUUCUGUUUGACAACUAUGGGACUCGUAUCAAAAAUUAGCAAUUAAAAAUCUACUUAGCCUCGAUCAUUCCUCAUCAGAAUCUAUCACAAUUUAUAUCCAAUCUAAAUAGUCAAUGAUUGGCUACUAAUUUAGAUUGUUAAAUCUAUAUACGGACAUUUUAUUAAUCUCGUUAUGUAAUCAAGAUCAAGUUGGUCGAUUUAUAUUCAUGAACGUACGUUAGGCAAUUGUUGGUAACAUAGUUUAGUCUGUCUUUACAACUUGUUACGCCACACAUUACAUUACGCGAUACUCAUUUCUUACAAAGUUACGUCGUUAAAUAUUAUUAGAGUUCGAUUCCUUUCCUAAAAAUAGACAUAUAGUUAUAUAUCUACUAAACUAGCCGGGUCCAAAGGGUAUAUCACAUCUGAUUCUCAACGGGAACCAUAUAUCUUCUUGCUCUUUUGUUUUACUAAAGAGUGGACAUUAUUCUCAAGAAUUAAUCAAAAUCGAAUAUCACUUUUUGCAAGACCUUUUGGUAGUAAGGGUUUUCCCUUCAUCAUCGGGUAAUCGAUCCCCUUUCAUGUCCCUUUUUCCUUUUGUAUAUAAAUUGUAUGCCCAAAUUGUAUAUAUGCAUCUUUCUUUUCACAAGCUCACCACGUUAAGGAUUCUAUUUGUAGAUUAGAUUAUAGAGCACUUCAUUUCUUUUUUUUUAUGUGUUCAAAAUGUUGUGCUCCACUUUUAAGUUUUGGGGUUCACGUGUAAUUCUUUUCCCCAAAAUUCUUGAGCUUUUUGAUCCAUAGUGUUCUCUCGAGUGUCAGUAAUUCGAACCAUUCAUAUUCAUAUUGUAAUUAAGCAUCAUCAUGAAUAAAAAAGAAAUCAUUGUAAAUAUCAUGAAAUGAGUAGAAAAUGAGUGAAUACCGACAUCUAUAUCUAUGUAAGACUGAUGAUGGGCUUCCUUGUUAGAGAAUCUGGCUCUUACCUAUCUCGGCAAAGUCCUGAAUAUAUUUGUUCUAGAAAUGUGUCUUAGCUAUCAUUGAUCUAAGAUCUUAAAGCUAGCUUUCGGUAGUACUCUCUAGGAUGAUGCAGUGGUAUUUUCUCUAUCAUUAUGUUGAGACUAACAUGCAGUUGCGUCGGGUCACCAACUUACCAUUGAUAUUAAACACCUCGAUUGCAGUACUCGAGUAUGGUACUUUGUACAACAAAAUAUAUACGAGUAAUUCACAAGCUAGUAAAAUGAUCGACUUCACGUACUAACUAGGCCUACUACGUACUUUGUUCAUAUUAAUAAAUACAUGCUACGAAAUGAGGGGACCUUGACCAAACUUUGCUUGCUGCUAUUGUUAAUGAGCUAGACUACUAUAUCUCUAUGUGGAUAAAUUUUUGUCAUCAUCCAUUUGGUUGGAUUAAUUGAUGAAAACUAUAUUAAGCUAAUGAAAGUGACUAAAAUAAUAGAAUCACCGAUUAAGUAAAAAUGUUAGGGAGUGUGAGAAGCAGUGCAGCACAUUGACACUUAGCUUAAGAGCUAAGAGAAUCAAACUCAUGCACGCACUGGUAUUUCAACUUUAACUAAUAUUCUGAUGUCACCCUUAUUUUCCUUUCUAGAACAUGAUCUCCCGGCCCUUUAUUGUUUCAAGUGUUAGAAAAAUGAGUAACUAACUGCGAUGUUGCAAUUAAUGGUUUAGUGUAUAUUACAUCAUAAGUUUCUAAUUUUUAUGAAAAAACAAUGUAUAUUCUUAUUAUUCUAUCGUAUUUGAAAGUAUCGUAAAAUUUAGGUGUCAUCCAAUUUAUUCGUUUGCGCGUAAAUUGAACUAGAAAACCGAUGAGAUUCAAAGAUAUGUGUACUUGAAGGAGCAAGUGUAGGAAACUACCAUCAUAGUCCGAUUUCAAAUUACGUCCUAUUAUUUAGCAACACUCGUGAUCUUUGUAGUGUUAGUGACAAUGUCGUAAAUAACAGCAGAACCAAACUAGAGACAGCAAAGGUUUUCUUCUUAACCUUGUCUGGAGAAAAUCUCCAUACAUAUAUACAUACAUACAUCUCCUCUUCGAUUCAGUAGUUUCCAAAAAUUAGAAAGGAGAAAUUAGAGAGCUAGUGAGAUAAGAAAAGGAAGAAAUUAAUACAAAGAGGAAAGCUGUUUAGGAUCGAUCUCUGUGGUCUAUGACUCGGUGGGAGCUCAUCAGCUGAGAUAGAGAGAGAGAGGAAGUAGUAGUAGCCAGCUAAUGCUGAAGACACAGACCUCACAACAACCUCUUCUUUUAUUCUCUCACUAUCGUCCCCACUCCACGCUCCUCUCUCUUUCUCUCUCGAUCAACACCAUCGCCAUAUAUACUCCACCGUAAUAUUUAUAUAUGCACACACUCACAGACUCACAGUAUUAAUCUAUCCACCCUCUUCAUCAUCGUCUUCUUCUUCAAUCCUGAAUUAUUUAUACGCAACAUAUAUAAAUACACAGCACCCCACUCUAUCUUCAACCUCAAACCCCAUUUUCCUUCCUCCUCUCAUUCUCAGCUAGCUGGCUGCAAGGAAAAGACACUCACCCUAACCCUACUUCAGACGUACUCACCGGAAUUUCCAAUGGGAUACGGCCGUCUCCAACCCCCCGAUACCCGAGGUUCUUCCAGCUACAUAGGCGACCAAUCCCCGCCACCGCAAGCCCCACCGAGUAAAAGCAAGAAAAAGCUCAUCAUACUCUCCAUUCUCUCUAUCACUCUCAUCGCCGCCGCUGCCGUCUCCUCCGUUGUCCUCAUCGUCGGCAGGUCCAGUCCCUCGGCGAACUCCAGCGCCUCUCUCCUCCACCGCAAGCCGACGCAGGCCAUCUCCGACGCCUGCUCCAAGACUCGCUUCCCUUCUCUCUGCGUAGACUCACUUCUCGACUUCCCGGGAUCCCUGAACGCCUCGGAGUCAGACCUCGUCCACAUUUCCUUCAACAUGACUCUGCAGCACCUCAACAAAGCUCUCUACCUUUCUUCAGGGCUGUCGAAUCUCCAGAUGGACCCACGCGCCAAGUCUGCCUACCAGGACUGUCUCGAGCUGCUCGACGAUAGUGUGGACGCGCUCACGCGCGCCCUGACUACCGUCGCGCCUGGACGCGACGGUAGCGCCGGGUCUAGCCAGGACGUGCUGACCUGGCUGAGCUCGGCGCUUACUAAUCAGGACACGUGCGGGGAGGGCCUCGCCGACGUGAGCGGCGCGGUGAAAGAGGAGCUGGGUCAGAAGCUCAAGGACUUGUCGGAGCUGGUGAGUAACUGCCUGGCCAUAUUCACGGCGACGAGUAGUAAUGAUUUCUCGGGAGUGCCGAUUCAGAAUAGGAGACUGUUAAUGGAGCGAGAUAUUAUGGGAGAUAAUGCCGAUAUCUCCCGGGAUUUCCCGAGAUGGUUGGGCAAGAAGGAGAGGAGGCUGCUGGCCUUGCCGGUGGCGCAGAUACAGGCCGAUAUAAUCGUCUCGAAAGACGGCAACGGAACUUGCAAGACGAUCAGCGAGGCGAUCAAGAAGGCACCGGAGUAUAGUAGUCGCCGUAUAGUUAUUUACAUCAAGGCAGGAAGGUAAAUUCAGUAGACUAAUAAUGUAGGCACUUUUCUUUUCCCUAUCUUUCUAUUCCUUUUUGCUAAUUGCUUUUUAGGUCUCCGUAUCUAUUAUUCCUUAAAGAAAAAUAAAAAAAUGACAUUUUCUUAUAUCUAUGUUCACAUCGAUGAAACUUUUCGAUACAGUUACUUGCAUCUUGGGCAUUUUAACUGUUUAUUAUGUCCGAACGGUGAAUAAUAUAUGCACCGUUCGGACAAUAAGUUAGAAAUUAAAGAAUUUACACGUAAUUCUGAUUAACCGAUCCGUGAUUGUGAUUAACCGUUUCGAGAGUUAGUGUUGAGUUUUACGACAACACUCUCAUUUUCAUGAACUUUUACUCUUUUCCUUUUUGGAAAGAAAAAUAAAAAAUGUUUUGACGCGUAUUAAUGUAAAUUUCGUAUGGGUGGUUGUCAUACUUGUCGGUGGAACAUAGUGGGGAGGACCGUGAGCAUUGACGUCGUUAUCUACCCGGGUGCUUAAGGUUGUUGUUGCAUGUAAAGUGCGUAACGACAUGUGCAUGUGGUCAAUUCACUUACCUUACUGGCAAGGCAUUUCAUGGACGUGACCAGUUUUACUUUGUAGUAAAAAUGGCUUUUGUUUUUUCGGGUCUGAGAAUAAUUUGGAACCAUUUUCAGGUACGAAGAAAAUAAUUUGAAGGUGGGAAGGAAGAAAACCAACUUGAUGUUCAUCGGCGACGGCAAGGGUGUAACCACAAUUACCGGUGGUAAAAGCGUUUCCGAAAGCCUAACCACAUUCCACACCGCAUCCUUCGGUAACUUCAUUCUCCUAUUUAAAAUUAUAAAUAUAAAUUUCAAUACUUCGAAAUACGUAUAUAAUGUCGGAAUUAUUAGAACGGUGUUUCUCUUCAUAAAAAUAGUGUGGUGGCCGGUGGGUCAUUUUGCUCAUUAUCAUGCAGGACUUGACCUACUACUUGCACGUGGCAUGUUAGUUUGUUAUGCAACUUGGUGAUGUGUGUGUGACCUCAAGGUCCGCAAGACCUUUCUCUUUUCUUAUGCUAUCGACAUUGACGUAAUUACCCUUUUAAAUCACCAAGUGGUGGAAUGUUCUUGUUCUUUAGCUAAACUCUUAAUCUUUUCCACUUUGUCAUAAUGUUUGAUUAAUCUCCAUUUUUAAACCUGAUUUGGAUAUUGGAUAGAAAAUCAUACUAACAUAGUACUAAUAAUCUUAUAGAUUAUUGAAAGUGGGCCGAUGGGUAUAUUAGUCAAUUUAUUAAUGUGAUGGUGAUGCUACAUUUGUAUGUUUUAUUGGUAUCGGUUGUGUUUGGCUACAUUGUGUGUGGCCCUGUAUGGUGAUAAAAGCUGUGAUUAAUGGAUUUUUCUGGUUGUUGGUCCACAGCGGCUACUGGAGCGGGCUUUAUUGCACGGGACAUAACGUUUGAGAACUAUGCCGGCCCAGCAAAGCACCAAGCCGUCGCCCUCCGUGUCGGGGCGGAUCACGCCGUGGUUUACCGGUGUAACAUUAUCGGGUACCAAGAUACGUUUUAUGUGCACUCGAAUCGACAGUUCAUUCGUGAAUGCGCCAUCUAUGGGACUGUUGACUUCAUAUUUGGUAACGCGGCCGUGGUGUUUCAAAAUUGUAGCAUUUUCGCCCGCAAGCCCAUGCCCUCGCAGAAAAACACCAUCACGGCCCAAAAUAGAAAGGACCCGAAUCAAAACACGGGGAUGUCAAUCCACGCUUGUCGGAUCCUUGCCACGCCAGAUCUUCAGCCAGUAAAGGGUAGUUUUCCGACGUAUUUGGGUCGCCCUUGGAAAAUGUACUCUAGGGUUGUGUACAUGUUAUCAUACAUUGGGGAUCAUGUAGAGCCGCGUGGAUGGCUUGAGUGGAAUACCACUUUCGCCCUAGAUACUCUCUACUAUGGCGAGUACAUGAACUACGGCCCGGGUGGGGCCGUAGGUCAACGCGUAAAAUGGCCAGGGUAUCGGGUCAUUACGUCCAUCGUCGAGGCCUCCAAGUUCACCGUUGCAGAGUUUAUAUAUGGCUCAUCAUGGCUACCCUCCACCGGAGUAGCAUUCUUGGGUGGCCUUUCGGUCUAAGUCUAAACUAGUCUCUACUUAAAUUGUCCCAUAUCCGUAAUUAGGUGAAGGUUAUAUUUUAUUGGCAAGUUGUAAGAAUAUAGUCUUUCUGCGUCUAUUUUUUUUGACAAUAUAUAAAAAUAAGUCGCAUUGUAUCCCUUUUUUGUUCAUUCAACUCAAUGAUGUUAAAAGCUAUACAAAUUUAGAAUUUACCUUUCUCCUCUAAACUAAUAAUGUAGUGCUAACAGCUAACAUGAGGACCUCGAUGUCAACUUCAAAUUUGGCUAUGUCACUUGGAUCUUGUGGUCGCCUCUACUUUGUAGUUGUGCCCUUAAAUUUGAUAUGAUUGCCGUCGGUGGGUCGUGAUGGUUGUAAGAAGUAGCUCCAACAUUAAACCACACAACUAGAACAGCGACUCUUAAUACGAGAAAAAUGAUGUACACACUGUACAAAUUCAUAACAUGGAUCCUUCAUUUCAAUGGCAUGAACAUAAAUGACGUAUAUAUCACGCUCACAAUAUGUGUAUGCUUACAUAUACUGAUACGUCAUGCGUGUCCGUUUCUUAUGAGAAAAAUAGUGCAUGCGAGGGUUACAUGCAUAUAACGGGGCAAUGGAGAUGUACCAUGCCCCGAAAGAGCUAGUGCUCGACUACGCGGCCUGUGCUACACAAAUUGUACCGCAAUUAAGAAAUUUCAAAGUACUUUCCUUGCUUUGCUUGGUAAAGAAAAUGAAGACAGACCCCCAAUCAGGUCAUGUUAUCUUUCUGACGAGGGAACCCACCUGUUGGAGAAGACAAUCUUUGCACAGGAAAGAUGGCAGCAUUGUGCAUUAUAUGGCGCAACUUGAUUUUGUCAUUAUGUUUUAGGUCAAACCAAGUGCCUUGUUUGUUUGGUCCUUAGGCCCCUCCUACUAGAAAUGAAAGUUCGGGGAAAAGAUGAACCCCUUCCUAGACCAAAGACCAAGAACAAAAGACCAUGGCCAGCUGUAGAAUAUUGAUCCAUAAUGUGAUGUUGCAGUCCACUCAUGUUGAUGUGAUGUUCUAACAUGCAACCAUUUUUGUGCCUCCAAAACACCAAAUGCUCUCACAUGGCUCAUCCCAAAAGGAUGUGUUCCAUACCGAGUUUGAUCUUCCUGGUUCAUUAUUGAGUUUGGUUGCCAAUUAUUGAUUUAGAUCAGUAUCCAAACUCAGAGCAUGCAGAAUAGAACUUCUUUGGAUUUGCCCUUGAAAUGAAGUUUCAGGUUAGUACGUGUACUAGCAUCCAAACUCCGACUUUGGAAGGCACUGCCGGAGCUUAAUCAGGAAACAUGGAAGACCAAAGACAUGCUCGGUUGCAAUCAGGUAGGUAAUGUGGCACAUCACCUUUGUUUUUCAUCAGAAAGAAAAUUACUCCUGUCACAGUAUCUGUGAAUUGAAAUCGUUUUCACCUGGUGCAAAGAGAAUCAUAUAUGGUUUCAAGCACAGCACUAAAUCUAAACUUCCAAUGAUCAAGAUCAGGAACCAUGAUCAGGGAACUUAGUACAUUAGCAUAAAACGAAUCAGAGAAUCUGGGACCAAGCGUACAAUCAAAGUGCGUGUUAUAUAUUACUGUCUCAUAUUUAUUCCUUCAUUCCAAGCACUAUGUAUGAAAGCUAAAAUAAGGAAAAAAGGAUGGAGAAAAGAUGAAUCAAUUGAGUGGUGGAUACAAGAUUCGUCAUCAGGCAACAGAAUUAAGAAACCUGCAAGCCAUUAGAGAUUGACAAAGAGCAUAUCGACAAAAGGCAUCAUGCCUUGCAUUCAGUAUGUAGUAUUUUUAGUAAAGCUUGUCAAGGUAGCGAUCCAUAAUUGAUGAAACGGAUUCGAGAAAUGAAGCCUCACUUGUUCCAGGGAGUUCAGCUUCUUUUGCUUCUUGAAUGAUCUGUUCAAUAACAGAUUUUUUCUUCAAAGUCUCCCUACACAUGAGGCUUCCAAUGGCAAAAGGAGUGAGUCCUCUCUCUGCACCUUUCUUUAAGAGCAUGGUGGAAAUACGAAGAGUGCGCGCACAAUCGGGUGGUAGGUUCCAUCCAUGAAACUUCAAAAGUCCAAUAUCUUGUUCAGCAUCUAGUGAUUUGAUAUAGUCAAUAGUGUCUGAGGAAAAAGGUUGUUGAGCUUGAGGCCAGUAAAGCCAAUCAAAUGUGCAAUCUUCAAACUGCAUUUACAUAAUGAAAAGCACAAAAGACAUCAUUCCUCAGACCAAAGUUUCAAAAUUUAAGAUUCAAAUGCUACAAAAAUGGUUAUGUGUAGUUGUGUACUGUAAAGUGCAAUGGAUAAAACAAAUCUCAAUCAUAGGAGAAGAAUACUUACUUUCUCGGGCAAACAAUACCCAUGAUCAAUGGGAAUAAGCACUAUCUCACUGUCUUCACUAUCCCUGCUAAUCAGUAUGUUUCCAGCAUGCCUGUCUGCAUUUGCCAACCUCAUGUCCAACACAGAAAUUUUAUGUACCUCUUGCACUGGAAAAGCACGAGGACCAAUAUCUUCGCAACUUCCUUGGUUUUUCAUGAACAUUUGAAGUGAUCCAAUCUUCAUGUUCUUGGCAGCAGACUUAUAACCUUCUGGAUGAUUAAAUCCAUUGUGCAAACACUUCACCAUAACUGUGGGUGGCACCCCGGCAAAACCCUUCUCCUCAUUAUAAAACGUACGAGGUCCAGUCAUUGGAUGAUCCAGAGUGUAAGCUGCAACUUCCCUCAAUGCCCCUUCUCCGACCCUUGUACCCUUCUUCAAACCUUCACCAUUUAAUGACAAGGGCAGUCCUCGAGGAUUGUUCACUGCCAUCGGUUCCUCAUCUAUUGGCUUAAAAACAGAAACAUACUUCAUACCAGAUGAGUCUUGCAUAAAAUAAGCUCCACCAGAUCCAUCUGAAGAGGGAAUUGGCACACAGCCUCUUUCUAGCCCAUCCAAAGUAGAGUAAAUAAGCUUUUUGAUCCCUAUCGAAAAUUCAAUCUUCGGAUUUACAAUUAGAGGUUCCAAAAUGACUUCUCUUCCAAUUGACUUCCUCCCUAAAACUUGACAUCCCACAACGUCUUUGGUACAAGCAGGCUUCUUCUCAUUCAAAUUUAAAGCCUCAAUUGACACUACAAAAUCCUUCUCUAUAGGUUUAGCUCUGACCUUUGCAGAUUUCCUAACAAGCAAAUGAAUAACAGCAUCAUUACUUUUGCAUAUAUCAUUGAUGAGUCUCUGAUCUUCAAGCUCUUCGCCAUCACAUAAAAGUUCCUGAUCGUUGAGAUCCACAGACUCUCUCCCUUUCUUAGUAAUCUGUUGUUUCACAUAACCGACAUUCCUACUCCUCUCAACAUGCAACUCAAACUCCUUGCCACAUACAGUCCUAACAGUAAUAGCCUGGAGAUCCGAAAGCCUAAGUACCAAGUGCAACAGGUUCCCAUCAGUUACCCCAUAGUCCCUAACACAAGAAUUGUUCCUAGCCAAUUCCCUACCUUCAAAAACCAGCUUCUGUUUCUUCACAAAAAACCCUUUCGAGGCCUGGAUUCUCAGUUUCACCGCAGCAAUGGAAUCCGACUCAGUGACACACAUCGGAAUCACAGACUCACCAACACUCAGGUAUAUCAAAAUGGAGUCACCCGAUGACAGCCCAUGUCGACCAGGGAAGUUCAAAGAUUCAUCGUAUACAGGACCAAGAGCUACACUGGCAAUAGACAUUGUAUUGGUCCUCUAAAUCUAACACCCUUAUAACUCAAUCCCUCUCUCACAGCUGUGAACUCUCAAAACCCAAACCUACUCACAGAUUUAAACUCAUAUUCCCUCCAACUAAAACUGGGGCUAAACCAAAACGCCAAGCCCCACACCAAUAAAAGCCAACCCUAUGUAUAACAAUCUUCCUUCUCUUCUUCUUCUUCAAAUUAUACGUUCCUGUUAGCAUUAAACGAAAUAACCUUCCCAGCUAGCUUCACCCUACAAAUUCAAAAACUUUCAAUCAGAUCGUUUCAUCUCUCGGAUUGUUGUUACAUCUUUUCUCAUCCCGGAAAUCCAUUUUCUAUAUCAUUUCUAAUAUCUCUAUCAAAAAUAAAUAAACAAAAACUAUAUAUGCAUAUGAAUCUAUCUAAUACAUGUGCAACUAAAAUCAACAGGUCAUAUACUUUAGAAAACAGACUACCAACAAAGAACAUGAAUAAAAACGAUGCUGCUAAUUUUUGAGGAAAAAAAAAAUGUUUAUACAAAUUAAUCAGAGUCAGUAUUUCUGGAAAUGAAUCAAGAAACAAGAACAUGCAACGUUACCUGAUGAACAAGCCGAAAACGUGAGCAGAGAUACACAGGCGAGGCGGCGAUCAGAAAAAGGUACCAUAAAUCUCAGUCGUCAUAUUCCGGUGGAUUGUGGUUCUAGAAAUUUUCAGAAUGUGCUUUUUUUUUUUUCUUCUUUUCUUUUCUUUUGGUUUAGUUUUUGAAAACUGAGAGAGGGAGUGUUGGGGAGAAACAGAGGAAGUGAGGAGAGGAUGUGAGGAAGUGAGAAUGGUACAAAACUAUAUAUAGGGUUUGAACACGAUUACGUGUGACGGAAUAUUUGGAUUUGACGUGUGGCGGAAAACGAGGGGGUCAGUAACGUGGUUGAAUUUCUAACGGACGUUACGAUUUGGGUGGGGAUUUAGGAAAUAUUUACAUUUUUAUGAAGGGCCUUUUUUAUUAAUUAGUAAGUUGGAAAAUGAAGAAAUGAUUAGUGGGUGUGUUAAGGACUUUAAGGGUGAAGGUCACACUCUAAGUGGAUUGCUUCCAGAGUUUUAGCCUAGUAGGCUACUCUAGUAGUCUUACUGACAUCGCAACAUUUUAUUUUCACGACACAAUUUCAUUAUAUAAUUAGAAAUAAUAAGUUUAUUAGAACCAAAUAAAAGGAUCUUAAGAAUUCUUACGGACUAAUUGUCAUCCCAUCAGGGUAGUUGAAUAUUUCAUGAUAUUUUUGUAAGCUUGGGCAUGGUUAUUUUUGCUAAAAAUGAUAUUUAUUAAGUAUGAAAGUUGGAUAUUUCUCUUAGUUAAAGUUAACGGUAGUUAACCUUGACGGAAGAGGAUCAGCUCGAAUAUAUUAUUUAGGGGACACGACAACGUGCACAGCACAUCAAACGAACCAACAGGAAGCUCCCACGUGUGAAACGCUUGUUGUUUUCUUUUUAUUUUAUUUAGCAAAAGAAAAGACUAGGGGAAGAAAUGAAAAGCCCAAUAGUUUCACUUUUCAGGCCCAUCACCCACUAGUCCAUUACAGAGAAGAAAACAUCCUUUGGUUUCCAUGAGGAAAAAUAAACCAUGAGCUAAUCUCUGUACAGUAACUAAAGCUUGAACAACAGAAGUUAGAUUUUGAUUCCAACUGAAAAGAACGAGAGAAAUGAAAGAGAUGAACAAAUUUCUCUUGCCACCGGCGUCCACCAAGGCCCUGACAAGACGAUUACUACAACAACAAAGGUAUAUAAGCACAUGGUUUUCAUAAGUUUCUUUCUAUGAAUUCCCAAAUCCUUUCUUCCAUAUAAACUCGAUCACUAUGCCGGCGUGGCAUGUGUCGUUCAUCUGGGAAAAUUAACAGUUCAUAAGUCUUCCUAGCUGCAAUGAGUGCAUUGACAAGCCUGGCUGUAUGUCUGAAGUGCACAUUUUCAUCAAUCAUUCCGUGCACAAGUAACAAUUUUCCCUUCAUCUUGUGCACAUGGUGCAUUAUUGAGCUAUACUCGUAACUUUCUUCAUUCUCAAAAGGAAGUCCCAUAUAUUUCUCAGUAUAAAAUGUGUCGUACCCAUCCCACGCUGUUACAGGGGCACCAGACACUGCACAUCGGAACACAUCAGGAAACCUGGCCAAAGACAUAGCUGAAAGAUACCCACCAUAGCUCCAACCAUACAAUCCAAUGUGACCUGCUUCUGCUAGUCCUUUGUCUAUAAGCCACUGGGCCCCCGUCAGUUGAUCAUCGGCAUCAAUACGACCAGCAUUGUGUUUCAAAGAGCCUUCAAAUGUCAGUCCACGUCGAGCACUUCCUCUGUUAUCCAACUGUAAUCAAGGGAACAGUCAAAACAGUCAGCUUAAAUCUAUACCUGAUAGUUCAGAUAACUUUUCUCAUCAUAUUUUAAACCCUUUUGAAGAUCAAGAUGUCCUUCCAACAUUAGCCAUACUUUUCAGCUUCCAAAUCCUUUAUAAAACAUGUAAGCAGUUGGAUUUUAAAUGAGGGAGUUUUUCUUCAUAUGCAAUUAUAAGUUCUAUACUGACACUUACUAUUACAUUAUAAAACAUAUUAAACUAAGAACUUGGAAAACAUAGAAAACCAUGGAAUGUUGUGGUUGGUACAUGAAAAUAAACUGACCUUCCAUACUAAGAUGCCUUUACUUCUUAGAAACUGCGCUCUCAUGUCAACUGUACUUAUCCAAGAAUCAGAAACAAGCUGGACACAUGGUCCACCAUACACAUAGAUCAUCGUUUUAUAAGGUGGAGGUCCAAAUUUUUCUGCAUCAGGCUUGUAUAGAGCCCCAUACAAUGUUGACCCAUCAUUAGCCCAUAAAUGAACCAACUCUGGUGGCUGAAGUUGAAGCCUUUUGAAUUUUGGGAUUGUGAGUGGCUGCUCAUACAGAGGCAUAAUGAUACUUCCAUCGUGCAAGGAGCAGAGUAAAACCUUUGGAGGAAAAUCUAGGGAGUCGUGGAUAUCAACAAAAUUCCUCAUAUGAUGAUCGAGCACGACGAUAUGCCUCCCCUUGUUGCGAGUCAACUUCACUGGAGCUUGCAAGGGUUGGCUUCCAUCUGUGAAUAGUUUGGUACAAUAAAGGUGUGAUUCUAAGGGCCCAUCCAAAGUUCCAGUGAAAUAAACAAGACCAGCAGCUUCAUUUACGCCAGCAAUCUGCUCAACCACCCAUUCUCCUUCAGUGAUAGGACCUAAGCAUGUCCCAUUGGCAUCAUGUAGGUAAAGAUGUUUGAAUCCAGAUUUCUCACUUGCCCAGAUAAAUCCCCCAGAAGAUUUGGUUAGUCCUUUGUCUAGAGGUGUGAAACAGUCAUGUAAGUUGACCCAUGUGCAUUGUUCUUCUACCAAUAAAACUUUUCUCUUCCCAUUUUUAAUAUCAAACUUAAGGAGCUUCAGCUUGCUGUGAGACCUGUUCAGAACCUGAGCAAUUAGAACAUUUCCAUGCAUCCAAUUUACUCUUGCCAGAUAUUCCUCCUCAUUGUCUGGUUGAUCUGUACCCCCACAGAGAAGCUCCAUCCAAGUAACAGGACCUCCAGUAGAGGAAACUACUCCUAGGCGAACUUUGACAUUUGAAGCUCCCGCAAAGGGAUAAGGGUGAUCUUCUUGAGCUUCUAAACCAACAGAACUUUUACCUUGAUGCAUGAUUCUGAAGAGAGGAAUCUCAGAGGAAUCAACUUCUGUGAACGCAAUGAACUUGCUGUCUAGAGACCACCAGUAUCCAUUCUUGCGGUCCAUUUCUUCCUGCAAUCAGUAUAAUGCUGUGAACGUAAGAACAAUUUAACUGAAUCCCCUAGGAAAUAAAUAUAGUAUCAAUUGAUGAGUUUCUCACCUGCGCUAUAUAUUCAGCAAGGCCAUGAGUCUGCAAAACACAAAACACAGGAGUCAUAUCAACCAAGAGUACAAAAAUGCCAGAAAUUCAACCAUCUUAAUCUACAGAAGUUUGAGCUUUUAAAAUCAAAUGGAUAUACAUAUUACUUUUCAAAGCAAAACACAAGAACACAUUUAGCAAAAUUUUUUUGAUUAGGAUUGAUUAAGGUUACAUAAAAUCAUGAUAUAAAUUAAACAAUAUGCUUCUAAAAAGUCUAACGUGUAGCAAGAACUGAUCGUCCACAUGACUCAUUUAGAUCAUACCUACAGUUACUAACUACCAAUUAAAGAUGACUUACCAAAACAUCUCCCCUAGCGCCAACUGUUAGCUGUUUUGAUUCAUUGUACAACAAAUUUAGAACAUGCAACUCGCUGUCUUUUACAUAACCGAGCAUUGUACCAUCCGGGGAUAGAUGGGGAUCAAUAAUUGGUGAAGACGGUGUGCUUGGAAGCUUGAGCUCCGGUUUUGAACAUGAAAGAUCCUGGAAAUAAAUCUGUCCAUAAACAGAACACCAUAUCAUCAAUUAGAACAGGAUCAUCUCAAGUUCAUGUACGAGUAAACAAAAACAUCCGAUCAUUCUAAAGGAUUAAGAAACAAACCCCUGCUGGCAAUGGCACCAUGAUUGCUCUCUUUGCCGAGCUUGUCUUCACCCAUUCAUACCUCGUCACUCCCAACCCACGCUCCCUCAACCUCUCCCUCCUCAACUUCUCCUCCUCCGAUAUAUUACUCUCGUCAAGUCCACCAUCAGGAGGACUAAAACACACCUCCUCAUUACAACUCUUCAAAUCAAACGCAUACACCUUCCGAUUCAAACUCUGAUCAGGACUAAACAGAUACGUCACAAUGCUAUCAUCUAAACUAAAACUAAUCGACGCCGGAGCAACAUAUCCAGGCAGAGGAUGCUGCACAAUCUCCUCAACCGGAAAAACAAUACAGUCAUCAAGCUUCUGUGAGAUAUUACAAUCCGUGACCGGCAUUUCGCGAGUAAAUGAUCUCGAACGCUUCAAAUUAUUCCUCUUAUUCUCAUGAACUGAUUGCAUUACAAUAACAGCUGGUAUUCGAUCAACAAUUCACACUAUAUCAAUCCAAAAAACAAAAAACAAAAAACAAACACUCAAUUAAACAUAUAUAACCGAUUUCACGAUUGCGUAAAUCAAUUCGAAACUCUAAACCAAGUAAGCGCAGCUCAUUCACACUAACACCGAUCCUAAAUAGCUCAAAAACAAAAUCUAUGAUUCUAAUCCGAGUCAAAAUUGGAGAAAUUACCAGGCGAGAGAUUCUUUGUCAGACUAUGAUCCACUGGAUCGAAUCAAAUGCGAGCGAGCUGCAAAGAACACAAGAAAGGAAACAUCAAUCAAUCGCAAUCAAGAAAAUUAGGAAAAAGAGGAGGGAAUGGAUUUGGAGGUGGACCUGGAGAGGAGGUGGAAAUGAUCGGCCAUGAAAGCUUGAGAAUCAGUGAGAAUCAAAAUCAAAGCGGAUUUUGAUUUUGAUUUUGACUAUCUCUUCUUCUUCUUCUACCUGUUUUUGUUGUUGGCUUCUACUUUGCAAUGACACUAAUCAUCAUUAUUUAAUUUUUGUUUUUUGUUUUUUGUUUUAAUCGUAAUGAUUGAAAUGCGGAUAGAUCUAACCGCGCGUUUGGUGCACGCGCCAUGAUGAAACUAAUUUUUUUUUUUUCAAUCAAAUUAAAAUAGGUUUGAUGCUCUAAUCCGUAUCAUGAGAGCAUAUCCACAACACUGCAUUUCCCUGAUCAUCAAGAAUAACUUGGGGAUUUAAGUUUUAUCAGCAUCAACGAGAUUUGAACCCAAAUAUGAGGGUCGCACACCUAGAAUGUUACCAAGUCGAGCACAUGUGGUGACUGAUUAGCAAUCACGUCUAAAGAUAAUAUCGAUUCUUUUUUUGUUUUUUUUAAUACUAUUUUGUUGUAUUGGAAGUUCAAGAUGUGCAACUAUAUAUACUGAUUUCAUUGUAAUAUUAAUGUAAGGUGUAUGCUGAAAUAGUUCAGUCGCAUACGUCAUACAUGUUAGGUAGAUAUCGAUCAGCAUUGCAAAUCCUACUAUUGCUCAACUUUUAUAAAGUCUAGAGAUUAUGUGUUGCUAACUUAUUGUUACCUGAAUCAUCAACAUGCAGUUCAUUAUUUUGAUGUUACGUUGACAGAGAGAAAAGUAGAUUGCACUACUGCUUGAACCCAAGUGAAAAAUUGGUCGGGGAAAGCAGAUUUGACACAACACUUUUGUGACAUAACCAAUACCUGGUAACAUGCCCAUUUAAUCAUGUGUUGCCUUUUCUUUUUUGAUUUAUCAACAAGCAUGAAAGUUGAAGCACAUCAACUUCCACUUUUCCAUUAUUCAAAAUAUGAGGGGGGGCCAUGAUCAGAUUGUGGGGUGUUAUGCUUUGCCUUGAUUAGUGGCUUCCUAUGAUCAGAUUAGUGGCUUCCUAUGCUAACUGACCCUUUUUGAGAAGGUAACCUACCCUCUUGCUGGGCUGGAGGGGACUACUCUGAAACAGUUGCAAACCCUGAGAGGUUUCUUGUGUCUUGCUCAACCAUCUUGUUUCUUUAUGCAUUGAUAAGGACUCCUGCCUUGUCUCAGUUCUUAUCUCCUUGGUAGAUGGUUUUGUAUAAUAACAAAUUUCAAAGGUAUGGCAUUGCCAGCAAACAAUGUUCUAGCAUUGCCUUAUCUUGGAAGAGAAGAACUUGGACAAUGUGUCUGUGUCCAAGGAUUGACUUACAUAUAUAAACUUAUCACAGGACUCCUGGUGUUACAAAACAUUGAAACAAAACCCUCAUUUUGUGCAGAGAUUGACUUACAUAUAUAAUUUUACUCCCACCUGCACAUAUAUGGACGAUAUAUACACUAAUCCAUGCCUACAGUGGAAUUCAAGAACCGGUUGGGAUUUUGAAGAUAGGACUCAGAAACGCAACUUGCGGAUGAGUUGGCUUAUCUGUGAGCCGUGCUUCAUGGGUUCUUCAUAAACUAAAGAUAUCAUUGUAAACGUGAGUAGCUUCAAUGGAGUGUCGUCAUUCGUUUCAAUUACCAUCUUGGCACAUGAAAUUCUUAACGACUCCAUGGAAUCCUCACAUUUCAUAAUCUUCAACUUCAGAACUCAUUACAAAGCUAGGGAAAGCUAGUGUUAUGUCCCUGAAAAACAGAAGAACAUUAGAAAUGUGGAGCAGAAACAUUACCAUUAACUGCUAUGUAGACGAUAAAAAGUCAACAAUUCUAAGUUUUGCAUCUAACGCUUGACAACUUCAUUUAGGAUGAAUUGCUUACUUUAGAUAUGGUAGAGUCAUAUUCUUGAUCAAAGUUGGAUGCUUCAAAACAUACUCUUUCCACUCUUGCUGAUCAAUCCUCCCAUCUCCUUUUUUAUCUGCAUCACUAAAUGUCUGCAAAAAGAGACAUAAAAACUUUAUAAUAUUCAUCUUAACAAGCAUGGAGAGUUGAAGUCACUAUAUGUAUCAGUAUGCACCUUAUCCACAAUGGCUUCGACUACAUCAUCUGAAAGUAACAAAUCUGAUUCAUGCAAAAGUGCCAACACCAUCUCCUUCAACUGUCAACAAAAUUACCACCAUAAGUUGUGAAAGAAGAAUGCGACUUUAUUUACGCCACACUUACGGUUGUUUUAUUUCAUAGGAUGAAUGCAAAAGCAUGUAACAAUUUAGAGGAAUGACUGCCAUAAGACAAACCAAAAUGUAAGAGAAGGAACUAAAAGAAAGAAGCUUAAAUAAAACUGACCUCCUCUCGUUCAAUGAAUCCUGUUUGUCUCAGAUCAUACAGUCUAAACGCAACUGCAAAAGUAUUACCGACAUAUAUUAGCAGAUAAUAAUAGAUUUAGUAGGAUAGUAUCAACCCUCAAUCUUUCAACUUUUCAACAAAGUACAUUGCAGCUGGACAUACAGGGGAAACUAAACUUUUAAAACAUGAUAUCAUUACCCUAUUAUAAGAAAAAAGUAAACUUACAUGCAAUUUUGUCUUCUACAGGUGCAUUGGGGUGAAAGAAACCCAAUGAUCGAACAAAUUCUCCAAAAUCAAUAACCCCAUUGCGCUUGACAUCAAACAAGUCGAAAAUCUACAUGUAACACCUAAAGAUUAACUUCUGUAGACAGUAAUAGCUACUAGUGCGAUGUUCCAGAACUGGAAUCAAGUAUAUGACUCUCCCUUCUCUUAUUUGCCUUAUCAUCAAACUCCCAGAAACAUAUUACUGAUAACACAAUUCAAAAACAGAGUAGGAGCGGACAUUACAUACCCUAUCUGCAAAAAGAUUCUUCUUAUUUUGGUUCCUGAAGAGCGCUAGUUGAAAUUCUUCCUGUUCAGAAAGAUGGAUAAAUGCAAUAUCAGUCACUGUACAUAAAAAAUCAAAAUUUCACAACAGAUUGGAGAUAAAGAAUGAGGUUGAAAUUAUUUCACAUUUUAGCUAACCUACCUUGUGGAUGAGCCCAUCAUCAUAUAUAGAACUGCUCAAUUUCUUGAAAAGCUCAUACAAGGCUUCUACUUCACUCACUGUAACUGCAACAAAGAAAAAAAUUUAAAAAUCAAAUUUUCAUAUUUCCAUUUUGGCUAAACUAAUAUCAUAAUAAGUAACUAUGAGUCAGGAGGUGUGGUCUAAUCUAUGUCUUUUGUGGUAUGCAACUGUUAAGAAAUAUUCAGCUGUAAAGAGCCAAGACCUUGGUUCUGUCUUAACUAAUGAUGCUCCUAUAUAAAUCUUAUGAUAUGCUUCUCGUUAAACUUAUGUAGGCAAAGCAAUCUUUCUCAAUAGGCACCAAAGGUGUGGAAUUUUUUGAUUUUUUCAAAUAUCACAGGGUCAUAUAUAUGAGUGAAUCGUUUAAAGUGGACUUUCUCAUUAGGGUGGAAUGGAUAAAAUGAAAUUUCUCAGUAGGGUGAAACAGCUAAAGUGCGCUCUGUUAAUAGGGGGAACUGCACUUUGUCAAAAAAGUAGGAGCCAUGUUCUUAUCUGAAACUUUUACCCCCGUAUUUAACAUUUAAUACCAUAGUAGACCAUGUUCUAUCUUCCAGUAUAUAUAUGCAUAGUUUACCACAAUGAUUACCCAGUUUUGACUUCAGAUUAUUAAUUUAUCACAACAAAGUGGCAGAUGGAGAAGGAAAAGAAAUGUUAAGACUAGUUAUGGCUUCCUAAGCCAUUUCAUGACAAAUAUGAUUAUGAUGCAGAUGAGCAAGUUGCAGUACAAAGGUGAUAGAGAUAGCUUACAAGGUGUUUCAGCAGCAAGAACUACAGGGUCCUCAUAGCCCGGAGUUUUCUCUGGCUUUGAACAAUAGCAGCCCAUUAACACAAAAACAUAAUUCACUCACAGAAAUCCUGAAAAUCAGUAAGACCAAUUGUGAGUGCCUUGGGUCUCCAUUUGUAGAAGCACAAUCAAAGAAAGAAGGGCAUGAAGGUACAACCGUACAACUAUUCUAUCAGACACAGAAAAUCAGCACAAUUUCUGUAAAACUCAUCAAGCAACUUAUUUGUAGUGCACACUCGUCUUUCUUUAUUUGUGGGACCUAACAAGUCUUUGAUAUUUAAAGGAGUGAAUACAAAGCUGUUGUGGAAAUUUCAUAAUCUUCCAAUAAUCCAAUGAUUUUCAUCUAUUAUUAAAACACCCUAUACCAAUAAGGCAAUAACCUUAUGUUAGCAGAUCCACCUCCCCUACUAAUUUCCAAAUUACAGUAUGUAAAUUCAAGCAACUUAAAGCUAUCAAUACAAACAUAGAGAUAUCAAGGUAGAGAUGAACUUCUAUUAAUUUCCCAUCCCAUUUUGUUUGGGGCCACAGACCUUGAAUAACCAUAUUCUGGGAAGCAAAUCUCAAAAGGCAUUACAUUGUUUUUUUCAAAUAGUGGCAAAUGUCAAACUGUGAAUUCACCCAAGCUGAUGACAUAAAUCUGAAAGAUAAGUGACUAAACAAAAAAAGAAAGACUCGUGCUUUUAGUUUCUUUCUGUUCAAAGCCAUAAACUUGAUAAGUUACUGAACAAGAAAAAAGGUGAAUUCACACAGAGAAACAUGUUCUGAAGCUGAUUCCAUUUAUAAAACACACAGAAAAUGCAGAAAAACUAAACGAAUCCAUAACACAAAUACCAUAGAAUGUAAAACAAAAAACAUAAUCUUCAUCUUUUCAUGAACUUUCUGCACAAUCAAAGCCAAAAGGCCCAAAACCAAUGUAACUGCGAACCAAACGCCAAAACCGAGCCAAACCCAGUUCCAAUGACAACACAAAUGCCUCAAAGAUCGAACCUUUCCAAAGAAAAAGAAUCCAAAAACAUAAACUUCAAUCCAAGAACAUCAAAAACAUAACCCAAUCUCUUCAGAGAAGAAAUAUGAGAAGCUGGACCUGUGAAUGACAGCUUUGGUGCAAGAAUCCCAAGAUGGGUUCGAUAUAAUUACUGGUAUAGAUGAGCCUCUUCUCUUUGUUUCGAGUCCAAAACGUUUGUCUUUGAGAGUGUGAAAAUCUUGGUUUUCUCAGCUUCGUUUUAACAUGGGGCUGAACACGUCUCUUUCUCUCUUUCAACGUUCGCCAACUGGGGCUGGGGCUGCUUCUCUUCUCUCUGCUUCAACUUUUAAAAUAAGCGCUUUUGUGUAGCUUUCAACUUUAAGCCGAUCCGCUUGUGUCUGCUUAAAGGUUCGGACUCUUUCGUAUUUUGAUAAUAGUACAAAAAAAACUUUUACUUGCUAUCGUUUUAGUAUUUUCUUUUUGGAGAAAUUACCCGAAAGGGAACUAAUUUGCAUGCUGGAGAUCAUAUAGCCGGUGAUACAUCAGAGCACCUGAACUUGAGAAACUACUUUGGUAUAUGUAGUUAACAACAUUGAGAAGUGUUAGAAAGGUCUCAUAGAUCGGUUUAGGAGAAGAAAAAAAAAAAUUGUUCUAAGUUAUAUUCAAGUUACAAUGAUGAAUUGAUGAUCUAGUUGUUGCGCGUUAUUUAAGGUAUUUGUAAAGUAUAGUUUGUGAAAAAGAAAUGACACACGUAAAACUUGUGUAAAACAGUCGUUCCAAUAGAAGUAAAGAUACGGUACAUUAUAAGCAAACAUGGAAUACAUUUUGAUCUCUUAACGCCGUUACAUAUUUUAUCAUACUACAUAUUAUACUCAGCACUAAAUGAAAUAAAAUGCUAUAUACUACAUGAAAAAAGAGAAAAAGAAAGCUGAGUGCAUGAAAGUUUAGUAAAGAUGGACAAAUUAAAUCGAUCUCUUAGCUAAAGGCGUAGCUGCACACAGUAGCCCAUCUCAAAUUUAAAAUAAAACAUACAUUUUUCACCAAAAUUUAGUUCAAAACGCUACAAAAUUGGAAUUUAGCACGCAUAUUGUUAGAGUUAGUCCAUUUUUAACAUUAAUUAAUUCGCGUACAUUAAAAAAAAUUAUAGCCCACCGUAGUAUAAAAUCCUGACCUCAUCAUUGCUCCUAGCUUUCAUGCAUUUGAACAUUCUAAGUAUAUACACUAAACUUAAUAUGUACUAUAAGAAAACUUCAGUUCACAUCUAUAAUCGUACUCACUUUUGUAGAGCAAGUCCAAGAUUCCCUAAAUUCUUUGAUUUUCUCUAUUUUGAAGAAUAUGAGGUCAUUUUCCACUCCAACAGUCUUCCUAUGUCAUUCCCUAAAAUAGGGAAAGAGAUGAAAAAGAAGCUUUGUUUCCCUAUAUUUACAGAUUCUCUAAAAAUAUUUAGGGAAAGAAGAAUUGAAUGUUGCACAUUCUUCAAGGCUCAAAAAUAAAAAAUAAAACAUAAUUUAUUCUAAAAAAUAAACUUUUAUAUUUUUAUACUUAUUAUUAUAUUAUAAUAAGUGAGAAUUGUUGUUAUAAUAAAUAUUUGAAUCUUUAAAAUAGGGAAACUGUUGGAUUUGGUAUACAAAAUUUUUAGAGAUUUUGAGUUUUGCUUCCCUAUUAUGUAGAAAAUAUAAAGAAACUGUUGGACUUGCUCUUAAAGAGUGAUUUGCUAUUUGUUCUACGUCAUGCAUGUAUAUAUGAAGCCAGAGUAGUUGGGCUGUCUUGUAUAAAAAUUGGCCUUUUCCACUAACAAAUAAUAUAAUUCUGCCAAAAAUCAACCAGAACACAACAUGUAUAUAACAUGAAUCCAUAAUGCUCUUGAUCAUAUAUGCAAAGCUGUUUAGAUUCUAACAUCCAACAUGACAAUCUAUCGAUAAGAAGAACAUCUAAGAACAUGACAUUACCCUACUUUAAACAAACACCUCUCCUUUACAUCAAUAAUGAACGAAGCCGGGGUAGUUCCCUAUCUAGUCCUGCCCUAAUUGUGUGAUGCUCGUCUUUUAUAGCAUAACCACCAUGUAUCUCUUAACACACAACGUUUAUAUCUAUGUUAUCUAAAGACGUACAUAAGAACUAAAUACGUGACGUGACAUCCACAAUAUCGUUUAUUCUAAAUACCUAACAAGUCACACCCUCAUUGUCAUAUCGCGAGUUUGCGACUUCUAAAUUGGGUGUUCCUUGUAGUUCUUUAAUUCUCAAGUAAUCUCAAAACCGCAUAGGGAUGAGUUGGCAAGUUUGACAAGGUUAGCCAUAUGUAUAUAUUAAUAGGUAUUAUAAUGUUUAUACGUACCAAUUUGAAUCACCAUUCUUAGUAUCUCCAAGUAAUUGUAAUACUUUGAAAUGUGCUCCAUUCGAUACUUCACAUUUGUAAACUAAUCAAACUGAUAUCUCAAUUACAUGUGUUUCAUCAAACACUUCAAGAACUCGAUCAAAAUUUGUCAUUUUAUUUUUAAUCAGAUGGAUACGCUGAGUCACUUUCUUUCAACUCACCUGUUUCUAUAUAAUUCCAAAACUCCAUGAACCUUUUAGUCUCUUUUGAAGCCUGUGCUACACUGUUACGCAUGUAGAAUUAUUAAUGAAGCCCCAAUUUUUCUCACCAUUAUUAGUAUCUCCAACUUCAAUUAUUGUUAUAUCUCAACUUCAAAUCAUCAAUACCGUUUUAGGAUAUUCUCUAUGUGUGCUUUGACCUUAUGCCAAUAGGAUAUGUAGUUAGACUAGAUCUAUGUAUUCAUAUCCUUACCAUAUUGGUAUUGUGUAAUUCCCUAUAUAAAGGGCACCUAUCAAUGAAUAAGAUGAUAAUUCUCUUGCUAUCUCUUUGUCUCUACACUUUAUCCUUUAUCACGUUAUCAUGCACUUUGUUCUAACCCUAGAGUCAAUAGCCCACCUUUUGUUUUUCAAACCCUAAAAUCGGGCAGCCUUGUUUUUCCCGAUUUCCGACCAAAAUUCCGACUGCCCUCCGCCAGAAUUUUAUAUCCCUAAAAAGCUCUCUCCGCCCCGGAUCCAACGCCGCCGGUCUCACCCUGAGAACCGGCCGGAAAGUCUCCGAACCGGCCGCCGGAAGAUUCCAGACCGCCGCCGCUAUCGACCACCGGUUCACCACCUUCCCUUACUCCGAUCAACCUGAAAUUUUGAUAGCAGCUUCCCCAUCCAGUGCUGCUCCUCCUAUCAAAUUUUCAGCCCCAAAUUCGAAGUAUAAGUAGGCGAAACGUUAUUUCUCCUCUCGGCAGCCUCUAGAAAGGUAUGUUUUUUGAAACCUUAAACUUUUCCAAGUUCAAUAACUCGGGGAGGAUAAAAUCCUUUCCUCCCUUCUCCAUCUCCAUUCUAUGCUUGAGAUUUUGUGCGUGCAGGUACCCAAAUCCCAGAAUUUAUUCGCGGGUCAAGAGUGUGUUUGAUCACUCUUGUUUCUUUGUCCGGGUUGUGUUUGAUCAACCCCGACCUUUCACCGGAUUGUGUUUGAUCAAUCCGAGGCCUUUUUCCGAAUUUUGUUUGAUCAAUUCGCGGCUUUUCCAGAUUGUGUAUGAUCAAUCCGAAGGACAAACCAUUAAAAGCAUCGUUUGUGACCUCUAUCGAGUCUCAUAACAGCUUGGUUUUAUAUGCAAGAGCAAUGUAACAUUCUGCUCCUUUGAGUUUUGACGUACUAGAUGCCUAAGGCGGAUCUUCGCUUGGUAUCUGUGGAACCUUUCAUUGGAAAGGAUUAAACCACAAGUUUUGACCCCCAGGCUAACAAGCCUAGAUGCCGAGAUGCCACAUCAACAAAAGCCUUCAAUGGCAAUCUGUGCAAAAAGUAAUGACCACAAAGUACUGUGGAAUGCACUCAUGGAGCGUUUCUCNNNN